rnacentral:lncRNA from 1 species
UCAGCCUUCGCCCAAGCAAUGAGUUCUUCUCCAGAAAAGUCACCAUCUUCCAGAUGGUUGUUCGGGUUACCAGAAUUGCUUGAGGAUCCAGCUAUGCUCCUGGAAGUGUAGGUCCAUAACUUGUCAUGCAGCACGAAGAGCAUUUGAUCAAUUGGGUUUCCCUCCUGGAGAAUGUAAGAGCGCUCUGUGAAGACGACUGGCUUCACAACAUCACACAGUGUCUCCAACGAUGAAUGACUCCAGUUUCCAAACUCUUCUACCUAUACAAACAUACAUCCAAUAUCGUUACUAUAAUCUAAAAGGCAUGAUGCUGAUAAUGAAAUUCAGCUUCUGAAUGAAGAAAAUUGAAAAUAAAAUGUGAUCUAGAACUAUCUCAGCUGAAAUGAGAUUCAUUCCCUAACACUAAAACAUAUCAGGUUUGAGUUCACGUUGAGGUGAUGUGGACUUUAGCGAUUGCGCUUUCAAAACUAUGCAAAAUAUUUUUAUUAGUUCUCCUUUGUCAAUUUCACAAAUUAACGAAUAGCAGACACAAAUAUAGUUGUAAAGAUUUCUCACUCACUUUUUUUAGCAAGUCUAAGCAGAGCUUCUGUUUUAUGUUAUUUCUGAGGUGCCUUGGAAGAUGAUUCACCAUAUACUCUACGUCAACACCCGUGGUUUGCAAUUUCGAUUUCUGAUAUUCCUUGAUCUCCUUUUGGAGUUUCUUAGGGAGCUUUCCAAAGGGCAGCCACCGGUCUAUUUCUCGUACCUUCUGUCUUAUCUCAUAUACUUUUGACGUUUCAGACUGCACAUUGCCCAAGAAUCAUGGUUCAUAGAAAAGUAAAAUUUAUUGCGCUUCCUCUUAAUCAAGAUGCCGGAUGUCUCCUGACCUUCUUUUGGAGUUCCUUAGGGAGCUUUCUAAAGGGCGGCCACUGGUAUAUUUCUUGUACCUUCUGUCUUAUCUCCUCUGCUUUUGACAUUUCAUACUGCACAUUGCGCGAGAAUAAUGGUUUAUGGAAAAUUAAAAUUUAUUGCGCUUCAUCUCAAUCAAGCAUAAAGAACCAAUUUUAAGAGACAAGAAUCAGACGAGAAAAAAAUAAAAUAACAUAAAAUAAAGAUACACCAACCUGGACCUUUCCAAUCAAGAAGAAAAACAGCCUUACUCCAGUGAUGGUAAUUGAAAUCACAAAGAUGUUUUCCCAGACAUUAGUACUGAAUGGGAGACCUUGUCCAAAAGAACUGCGGAAGUCAAACCCGUAAAUUUAUUAGAAAUUUAGAACCAAUGUUUUUGAGUUUAAUUGCUAAAAAAACAUAAAAAUACGUAUGCGUAAUUAUAUGCACCAAAAACAUAGAAAGGCAUAUGCACAAAGAUUGUUACAAGGAGAAUGAUGUAUAUCCACAACUUAACCUGAGAUUUUGCAGGCUCCAUCGAAUACAAGGGAACAACCUCAGAAAUAAAUUGUUUUGCUCAAUAACACCAGAAUUAAUAGCAUCAAAGAAUAUCCCAAAAUCAUAGAUAGUUGCAUUUUGAGUCUUUGUAGAGCAAAAAUCAUUAGAAAAUGUGUAGUUUGUUAAACUGUUGUCACAGUGCAAAGGAAGGAGACGGCAUUUGGUAGAACCUGUGCAGGCUUUCCUCCAACAUUCGGUCUUUCUUUGUAGAGCAAAAAAGUACCAUAAUGCUCCAAACCCCUAAACAACCAUCAAGUAGAUCAUCAGGAAUUAUAAAUUACCCAAAAAAGAGUAAAGAGAAAUAGAAUAUAUUGGAGACUUGGGAGGCAAGUAAACUUACAUUAGCAGCAUGUAGGUAAAAGAGAUUGAACGUAAGUCUGGCCCAUUUAGUAUGCUUAUAUGAAUUCUUCCUUUUUUUAAUCAAUGCAUACAAUCGCUUAACCUUUAGCAAAUGUUGGACGAUAAACAGGUUCAUCACAUGGAAAAAUUGCUGGACAUUCAUUAGUCGAUUAUAAACUAGAAGCACCAACACCUGAACAGUUUGUACACCAUAAAGAUAGAAUUAUCAAUUAUGAAAUAUGAUUCCAUAUGAAAAGGAAAAAAAAAAAUACAACCUAUGCGUGCUUGCUAGGAAUCCAACAUAAAUUGGUUUGGGCGCCCAUAGGUGUGCGCGCGUGCCCUUGCUUGGCUAAUUGGAACAAAUAAGUAAAAAGUACGACAGAACAAACAUUUACCUGUGGGAGUGGAAGAAUGAUGGCGAGAUCAGAGAUCAAAUAGGAAGACGGGCAACCGAGAUAUGCUACAAUUUCGACGCCAAUUCUCCCAUAUUGGUAAAGCUCUAAUUAUCAAAAAAGGUGUAUCAUAUACCGUGCGUUCAAGAAUACCAAACGUCAUAACAUCUUUGUCAAAUUGGAAGCACUUUUUGUCAUCGUUGGUCACAGGAAGGUACAAGAAAACAGGAUCAAAUACCAUGGAAUACACAUAAAUCAGCCAAAAAUUAGCUUCCAGGAAACGUCUCGACAGAUUACGAAUCUGCCGAAGAGAUGUUUUUACUCCAUUACCCAAGCUUUCGAUCACAGUGAGGAAAGCAGAUACUGUUGCUUCUCUCUCGCUCCUACUGAUGCUGUCCAUUUCAACACCAGCAACCAGUCUCGGCGUUCCUUCCUCUAAAUUCGAGUGCUGAGACCUGAAAAAAAUAAAAUCAACUUCAUCGUCAUCACCAUAUACAAUAAUUGUAAUAACAUAUAGCCUGUACUUCAGCUCAGUAAGGCUCUAUACGUAUAUCGUCAAAUUAAUAAACAACUCGCUUAAGGCUUACAUAAUCAACCAAGGGGAAGGAAAAUUUAAAUAAAUGAAGCGAAGCUUAAUUUCAGUUUCCUUCAAUUAAAUACAGGUGAAUCCUUCACAAAUCAUCACUUCAGUGGCUGAGUCUUCGGAGUUCAGAGCAUGCUUAUCCUAUGCGCUAAUAAAUAUCUACGCACUGUGGUUCCUCAAGACAUUGACUUCUUACACAAUCAAUCAAACAACCAAAACAAAAAACAAAUUCCCAAUAAAUAUGUAAUUUGUGUAGCACCUUUUGACUGAGUUGGGGGCGCAGGCAACUAAUAGUUACGACUUGAGGUUAGAACUUAUCCAUUUGCACAUUCUCAAUCUACGGUUCAUUAACCAAAAUUUUGGCCCCGAGAGGCUGCAAGUCUUAUCAUGUCCCUCGUGUUUUUUGCUCACUAGUAGAAUUGAAUCUUUGUGCGUGUUAAGUAAAUACAAGCACCAGGUCGGUCAUGCUAUUAUUUCCACCCCGGCGUGGAUCACCUCAGCCUAUGGUACGAGCCGAACACAGGGACAAGCAUAAACCGACCAGAGGGGAACCCCUGACAAGCAUAAACCGACCAGAGGGGAACCCCUGCUAGGGGAAUGUACCGACCAGAGGUAUACACCGAGCCGAUACCUGUCCCCCAGAAAGCGGGAACACGAUCCCACAGAACCGCGGCCGUUACGCUGUUCCCAGAACACAGAAUCGCGGCCGUUACGCUGUUCCCAGAACACAGAAUCACGGCCGUUACGCUUUUCCCAGAACACAGAAUCGCGGCCGUUAUGCUUUUCACAGAACACAGAAUUGCGACCGUUACGCUUUUCCCAGAACCGUUGAAGGACACGUAAGUCCCCACGUUUGCGACAAUGCAACGGUUAGAGUCCCGUGAGGGGCUGCCACUACCCGAAAAAGGGGGGGAUGAAGGGCAAACGGAAAGGUGGGGACAGCGGCUAUAAAAGAAAAGGAACUCAACGGAGAAAAGGACAGAAAAAACGGAGAGAGGGAAAACGCUGCCAAAUUGCAACCAGACCAUUUUCCUACGAAUUUCAGAUAAACUUCUUGAACCCAAAUCACAUUGUUUUCCCGUAAACACCUUGAGCUAACUUAGGCAUCGGAGGGUUUACGCCGGCAAAACCACCGGCGUCUCUGAUCCGUUUUUAGUGAGCGCAGGUCUAUUGAGAGGAAGGGGGACGAUUCCAGUUCCAGUGAACGAGCAACAACAGAUAACACAAACGUUGGUGAAAGAAUCUGGUCGGUCAAAGGGCGAGCAGAUUUCAGCAUCAACACUUAUUGCUCAAGAUAAAUGUAAGCCUUACAAAUAUGAACUUGUUGAGAAUCCAAAUCCAAACUUGUGAACAAUGUCACGAUGCCCAUUACAAAUUUGAGCAAUAGUAGGAACAGUCCGGGCCUGCGUCCCAGGUCGCUUUAGAAAAUUUUUGAAGACCUCUGACCUUACUUCCUUUGAAUUUAUAAAAAUAUCCCAUUUGAGUGUUAAAAUUUUGAAAAUUUCAGUGCUUAUCUCUGGGAUACGAAUCCCCCAGCCCCAAUAAAAAAAAAAAAAUCCCAGGUCGCUUUAAAAAAAUUAAAUUUGUUAGUUUGGUUGGUGAGAGUAGUCGAAAAUAUUUAAUGAACUGCGAAUACUUGCGAAUGGAACUUCUUUCACAAUUUUUGAAUUUUGAACUGACUGCACCGCACGCAAGUUUCAAAAUUUUGGUAGAGACGCGAGUGAGGAGCGUGAUCCAAUCCAAUGAUGACAUGUCAUCAAUCAUAUGUUGGCGCGUGGUCAACCCUCUUCGCCUGAGCUGAUGCCAUGUUGGCAUGAAGAGGGCAAAGAGUUAAAGAAAUUUCCAAGUAAAGCAAUGCUAUUGGCUCUUGGCUAUUGGCCACAGUCUAGUUAAUCAGGAAAUUAGUCAAGCCUCAUAAAUGCAGUCAAUGGCAAGGUAAAAAAUAUCCGAAAUGAGUUGAAAUUGAUGGGUCGGUGAGUUUUUUUGACCGGUAGCUGUUUCUGCUUCGAUCAUUUAUUUAUUAUUGGACCUCUGUUUGUGCUCUCUCUAGUUUUGUAGGUUAUUUAUGCUUUUGGAUAUGUGAUGAGGUCAUCUGUCGGUUUAAAUUCAUGAACUUAGGAUGCAAUUCAAAUACAAAUUAAAAUUUAAGUAUCGAAAUUCUUAAUAUUAUUGAUAUCUUACUGUUGUUAUUAUUAUUUUUAUUAUAUUUAUGAAUUUUUCUGAGUUAUUCUGAUUGUAGUUUAUAACAAGAUUUUUUUCAAUAAGUAUGUGAAUAAAUUUUAUUUAUCCAUAAAUUACAUUAACUAUAAUUUUAAAAAAUCUUAUUAUUAUUACGACAAUCUCUAUUUUACAUAUAUGUAAAAUACAUAUUCUUCAUAUAAAUAAUACAUAUAUGGGAUCCACGUAUUAUUAUGAUAAUAAUAAUAGAACCUACAAAAAAAAAAAUUAAAUUACCAAUUUAACCCUAAAAAAUAAAAAAAUUAUAUUAAUUUUUAAUUUGUAAUUUUAUUUUUAGGGUAAAUUGGUAAUUUAAUUAUUUUCUUUUUAUUAAUGUCCAAAUAAAAAAAUAUUAUAAAAGGGUAACAUUAUAAAAGUAAGCUAAAAGAAAUAAAAAGUAACGGUAGGAGUAUCAAUACUUUAACGACAUGGACGUUUUGAGACAUUUUUUAAAAUAUAGGGACUAAAUGGAUACUAAUCUUAAAAUAUAAGGACUAAAUAAGCUUUUACCCUUUAUUUAUUCAUUUCAUGUACUGAAUAAAAUGGGUGGCUAACUUAUGGAUGGAUUAGUGUUCAUGUGGAUGUUGAUUUUUGUUUUGGCAUGCAUGAGUUAUCCUUUAAUAAUUUGAUGGUGCACAUGCUCGUCCAGUCUUAUAUUUAAAUUGUCAAAUGGUUCUGUUUCGGCAAUAUAAACUUGGCACUUACGUUUCGGAAAUUUUUGAAGAGUUUAUAAAAUUCUGUUGUUUGUUUAGGAAAAUAACUGUUUGAUGUUUUGGCAAUAUAACCAAGGUAAUGUUGCACUGAUAAUCAUUUUUUUUAAAGUUUGACAGCUUCAGAAACGAUAUUAAUCUCAAUUGUUUUUAUCAUUAAGUUCAAACUUUGAAUUUUCUACUUAAUGAUGUUUUGAGAAGUGGGAAAUUUGUUGUUUAUGCUUUAGAUUGCAUAAGUCCAGACACAAGAUUUGGUUAUGGAAUUGAAUGUAUCCUGUGAAAUCUUUUUACGAUUGAGGGUUCUUUUCUUGGUUACAGUGGUGUCAUUGGGUUUCUGAUAUGCUCAACAGAGGGACCUCAUGUUGAUUUUGCGAACCCCAUUAAUCCUAUUGAGAAGUUGGAUGGAGCUGACAAGCAUAAAAGAGAAUUAAGGUUCUAUAACUCAGAGGUAAAGGCUCCUCAUUUCAAGUCUAGCUUUCCUUGGUCGUUACUUCUUGAUUCUUUUUCUUAGAUAACCUAAAUGCUUGUGUGGUUGAAUUGUCAUUGAGUUAAUAUUUUGGUAGUGUUACUGUGUUAGAUGAGAAAGUAUGAUGGCCUGCAUUUAAUAUUUGUGUUGUGUUGACAGAUUCAAUUAUAUAGUUGCCUCCGCGUCGCUUGCAUUUUUGAAGAGGGAGGUGAGCGUACUUAGUGAUUCUCCAACUCCAAGCCAACGAAUCUGCGCGUCCUAAUGAUUCAUAGCAAUCAUCCCAUUUAUUUAUGAUUAGCGAGAUUUAGUGCUUCCCAUGUUAUAGUUUAUAGGAUGAUUAUGAUAUAUGUAGACGAGGGGUUACGCCUUGAGCUUGACCUUGGAGACUUUGUGGAUGAUCUGAUUCUAGCAAUGUAUCAUGGUUCUCAUUUGACAAUUAAUACUUAUUUUAUUAUAUUAAUAGCUUACUUUUAAACCUUCAUGAAAAUUAUAUGAUUAUGGUUCAAUUUAGAUUUUCUUUUAUUAUAAAAGUUUUGCCAGUGGCCCUCUUAGCCAUGGAUUGAUUAACAAAAUUUUCAACAAGGGCGUGAACUCGCUCAUCCUCAAAAACCAUUAUUGGAUGGAAUAAAUAUUAAAAUCAGGGACACGCUAAUUUAAUACAGCAGUGAUAUUCUUACAACAUUUAACACCACACACACUCACCACCAAACGGUGCGUUUUGAGCUAAAUAUUAAUUGUCCACACAUAUUACACACAACACGCGCUGCUCCCACCGCACAUGCUGCUCACAGAACACAGCUCAGAAAUUGACGUGUAGCCCGAAUCACCCAUAAGCUGAUUCUCCCUCUCUCACCCCUUCGUCGAUUGCAUCUCCCACAUCACUAAAAUAUAUCCCAGAUAUAUUUUGGUUGCAAUUUUGGUUUUGGUAACAAUCAGCAAAAGAUCAAGAUGUUCGCAUGCAACAUAUCAUGUGCCAGGUUAAGUGUUAAUCUUAAACGAUUGUUCAAGGGCUGAAUCCACGAAAUGUAGAAAAUCUUUAUAUUAACUGAUUCACUGGUACAAGAGCACUCUUCUUUUACUUCACUCAAAAUCAAUCUAAAUGCAAUUACUAAUCAAUUUAAACUCACUUGACAAUACAAAUCGAUUACAAAUGCAAAACUUGACCACGGAUGCAAUCACCACAAGCAAUACAAUUCCAGCUGAAUCUUCACAAAUUCAAGCCAUAAAUUUUUCAAAUUUUCGAGGUAAGAUUUGUGGAGAGACCCACGCCAGCUGUGAAGAGACCCACGGAAAGAGAGAGAAAGCCGACGGUGAGUGUUGUAUGGGUUUUGCUCGUUUGCUAUGCGAGCUGUGUGUGCGAGAGAGAGAGAGAGAGAGCCAACGGCCAGAUGUGGGGACACCCACGGCGAGAGAGAGGGAGAAAGUUGACGGAGAGCGCACAGAGCAGGGGAGGAGGAAAAUGAAACGGUUGCGUUUUGGUGUGGGUUUUGCUUGCUCGUUUGCUGUGCGAGUCUUGCGCGUGUGUAUUGAGGGGUAAUUUUUAAAAACCUCCCCUGAAGUUUGGGUUUAUUGCAAGUAGAUGGCGAGAAUCAGUUUAUUUAUAAAAAAUCCCCUACCGUCAGUUAAUUUUAACAUUGACCGUUAGUUGACUGUGCAAAGACAAUAUUACCCUUAACAAUAGUUUGUAGACUGACAUAAUUAAAAAAAAAACUAAAAUUGUUGGCGCAAAAAGCACAAACCUUAUUUUUUGACAAUUUUAUCCUUGUCAAUUCCAAAAAUUUACAAUAUCAUAGGUAAAGAUUAUAACUAUUUCAUUUUCAAGUUUUUAAUUUUAUCUUUCUUGUAGGAACUUUAAGGAAAUAUUAAUAAUUUAAAGAGGAUUUUUCAAGUUGUUAAUUUUAUCUUUUUUGUAGGAACUUUAAGAAAAUAUCAAUAAUUUAAAGAGGAUAAAAUAGCCAACAAUUUUGAUUUUUUUUUUUUAGUUAUUUUUGUCUACAAACUAUUGUUAAGAGUAAUAUUGUCUUUGCACAAUCAACUAACGGUCAAUAUUAAAAUUAACUGAUGGUAGGGAAUUUUUUACAAAUAAAUCAAUUCUCGCUAUCUACUUGCAACAAGCCCAAACCUCAGGAGAGGUUUUUAAAAAUUACCCGUGUAUUGAGCUGCCACAGAAACCUUUUUAUAGUUAGCAUAAAACGCACCAUUUUGUGCUAACUUUUGUACUAAAUGUUGUAAGAGUCUCAUUUUCCAAUUUAAUAUCAUCCGUUGUGUCUCUACUAGUUAUAAUUUCUAUUAUCUUUGUCAUCCAUAUUGCCUAAGAAUUUUCUCGUCUUUACUUAAUGCUGACAGAGCAAGCCAAGAUAAUAGUUUGGAAGUUCUCCUGAGAGUCAGCUCUGUGUGUGUGUACAUAAAUUUGAGCUUUUUAGAGAGCUUUGAGCUUUCAUACUGUUAUUAGAGCAAGGUAAUUCCAUUACGGACUGACGUUUAGCAGUUAAAUGCUUACUCCCUUGGUGUACAUAUAAUUUCUGCAUGAUAAAUUUUUCUGCAAAAGGGACGGUCCAUACUGCCAUCCGAACCAGAAAUUAGCGCAUAGAAAAUAUAUAUGUUCAACACUACAAAGGAGUUUUGCUAACUUCAUACAUAUAUAUACAUCAACUGUAUCAGGCAUCGGUUUCUAAUAUCUCAAACUCAAAUACACUCGUCCAAAUUUAUUCUUGAGAUAGGUCCUUAAUUAAGAUCAUGAACAAGGCCUAAAAUACUAACGUUGCUGCACCAGAUCUGAAUGCCCCAAAUAUUAUUGUAGAUGGCGACGGUGGCGUUCCUUGUGCGGACGCAUGUGCACUCCAUCUAGUUUGUCAAAAUACAUGUAUACAUCCAGUGCAAUGUUUUGCUUAAUGAUCAAUAUUCAAUAGUACCUGCUUUAAAUCAUCCGCCAUAAGAACAAAUGCUUCAACAUUUGUAAGAGCUUGAAUUGUUUUAGUUGAUAUAGGAAGGUUGGAUGAGUCGCGGUCAGCCUUCGCCCAAGCAAUGAGUUCUUCUCCAGAAAAGUCACCAUCUUCCAGAUGGUUGUUCAGGUUACCAGAAUUGCUUGAGAAUCCAGUUAUGCUCCUGGAAGUGUAGGUCCUUGACUUGCCUUGCAGCACGAAGAGCAUUUGAUCAAUUGGGUUUCCCUCCCGGAGAAUGUAAGAGCGCUCUGUGAAGACAACCGGCUUCACAACAUCACACAAUCUCUCCAACGAUGAAUCACUCCAGUUUCCAAACUCUUCUACCUAUACAAACAUACAUCCAAUAUCGUUACUAUAAUCUAAAAGGCAUGAUGCUGAUAAUGAAAUUCAGCUUCUGAAUGAAGAAAAUUGAAAAUAAAACUUCAUCUAGAACUAUCUCAGCUGAAAUGAGAUUCAUUCCCUAACACUAAAACAUAUCAGGUUUGAGUUCACGUUGAGGUGAUGUGGACUUUAGCGAUUGCGCUUUCAAAACUAUGCAAAAUAUUUUUAUUAGUUCUCCUUUGUCAAUUUCACAAAUUAACGAAUAGCAGACACAAAUAUAGUUGUAAAGAUUUCUCACUCACUUUUUUUAGCAAGUCUAAGCAGAGCUUCUGUUUUAUGUUAUUUCUGAGGUGCCUUGGAAGAUGAUUCACCACAUACUCUACGUCAACACCCGUGGUUUGCAAUUUCGAUUUCUGAUAUUCCUUGAUCUCCUUUUGGAGUUUCUUAGGGAGCUUUCCAAAGGGCAGCCACCGGUCUAUUUCUCGUACCUUCUGUCUUAUCUCAUAUACUUUUGACGUUUCAGACUGCACAUUGCCCAAGAAUCAUGGUUCAUAGAAAAGUAAAAUUUAUUGCGCUUCCUCUUAAUCAAGCAUAAAAACCAAUUUUGAGAGACAAGAUGCAGAUGAUUAAAAGAAAAAAAUGAAAAAAAUAAGGUACACCAACCUGAACCUUUCCAAUCAAAAGGAAAAACAACACUACCCCAGUGAUGGUAAUUGAAAUUACAAAGAUGUUUUCCAAGACAUUGGUACUUAACGGGAGACCUUGACCAAAACAACUGCAAAAGUCAAACCCACAAAUGUGUUAGAACCAAUGUUUUGAGCUUAAUUGAUAAAAAACACAAACAUACGUAUGCUUUAAUAUAUGCACAAAAAACAAAGAAAGGCGUACACAAAAAGAUUGUUAAGAGAAGAAUGAUGUAUAUUCACAACUUAACCUGAGAGUUUGCAGGCUCCAUUGAAAACAAGGAAAGUACCUCCGAAAAAAAUUGUUUUGAUCCAAAACACCAGAUUGAAUAGCAUCACGGAAUAUCCCAAAAUCAUAGAUAGUUGCAUUUUGAGUCUUUGUAGAGCAAAAAUCACUAGAAAAUGUGUAGUUUGUUAAACUGUCAUCACAGUGUAAAGGAAGGAGGCCACAUCUGGUAAAAUCUGUGCAGGCUUUCUUCCAACAUUCAGCCUUUCUUUGUACGGCGAAAAAGUACCAUAAUGAUCCAAACACCUAAAGAACCAUCAAGUAGAUCCCGGGAACUAUAAAUUACCCAAAAAAACAGUAAAGAGAAAUAGAACAUUUUGGAGAGUUGAGAGGCAAGUAAACUUACAUUAGCAGCAUGUAGGUAACCGAAAUUGAACGUCAGAUUGGCCCAUUUAUUAAGGUUAUAUGAAUUCUUCCAUUCUGUAAUCAAUUUAGCCAAUCGGAUAACCUUUAACCCAUGUUGUACAAGAAACAGGUUCAUCAGAGAGAAAAAUUCCUGGCCACUAAUUCUUUGACUAUAAGCUAGAAGCACCAACACCUGAAUAGUUUGUAGGAACUCCAAAAACAGUUAUUUCUCUUACUUCACCCUGCGGAAUACACAGAAAUGGAACUCCACAGACAUUUAUUUCUCUUACUCCUCUCAUGAUCCUACUGGUCCUGUUCAUUUCAACGCCAGAAACCAGUCUCGACGUUCCUUCCUCUAAAUUCAUUCAAGUCUUGAGACCUUGGAAAAACAAAAAAAUCAUCUUCAUCAUGGUCACAUAUACAAUAAUUGUAAUAAUAUAUAGCCUGAUCAUAAGUUCAGUAGGACUCUAUAAGUAUAUCAUCAAAUUAAUAAACAAGUCACUUACGAAGGAAAAUUAAAGUAAAUGAAGCAAAGCUUAAAUUCAGUUUCCUUCAAUUAAAUACAGGUGGAUCCUUCACGAAUCAGCACUUCAGUGGCUCAGUCUUCGGUGGAUGCUUAUGUUAUGUGUUAAUAAAUAUCAGAGGCACGACCCAAAGACUUCGAUUUUUCAAGUCAACCAGGAACACAUAAUUAUUGUUUGGGGUCCGCUUAUAAUAUUUUCAGGCUAGCUCUGUAGCUCAAGCAUGAAAAACGGGGAAAGUAAAGUGCAAGAAAAUUCCAGAUUCUUUUUUCAAUUGUUCUUUAUACUGUGUAGCUAAUGUACAAAAGUGAAAAUGAAUCUUUGCUUGCAUUUUUUUAAAUUAGCGGCAUAAAAAGAAUGGAGUGAAAAGUACAGAGACCUUGAAUGAUCAUUGAAAGCCAUUAAAGAAUGUAGACAAAAGUUAAUUGCAUUAGAAAGUACUAAUAAUGAAUUAUUUAGACAAAAUAUAGUAUUGCAAAAUCAAUGUCAGAUUUUAUUACUUAUCAGUUAUCACCAGAAAACUCAAAACACUUCAACAAAAGCUAGCACUAGAAGAAAUAUUUAACCAUUCCCCAGUAGGACAAUUAAUAAAAAUUCAAAAAAUUUCUUCCCUCAUUGGUGAUAGUAUAGACAUUGUAAAAAAAAUUUUAUUUCAGUAGCCAAUCAAAUAUUCUAUAGCAUAUUAAAUUUCUUAGAAUUGUUAAAUUACAAUAAGAAAUUUAUGCCAAAAUCUUAGUACAUUAAUAAGACCAUUAUAUAAUAAAUUAAGUAAAAAUGGACAAAAGUAUUUUAAAUUUUAUAGUGAAGAUAUUAAAUUAAUACAAAAACUUAAAGAAAUAGGAAUUUUUUUAAUCUACAUCAUCAUAUGUUAAUUCCUCAUUAUUACAUAAUUCUUCAAAUAAUUCUUCAUCUAAACAUUUUUAGGAUUAUUAAAUAUUAAUUCUAUAAUCUUAUCUCUAAUAUUAUGUAGAGUUUUCUCUUUAUCUGUAUUUAAAUUUUUUACUAUAGCAUAAAAAGAAUGGAGUGAAAAGUACAGAGACCUUGAAUGAUCAUUGAAAGCCAUUAAAGAAUGUAGACAAAAGUUAAUUGCAUUAGAAAGUACUAAUAAUGAAUUAUUUAGACAAAAUAUAGUAUUGCAAAAUCAAUGUCAGAUUUUAUUACUUAUCAGUUAUCACCAGAAAACUCAAAACACUUCAACAAAAGCUAGCACUAGAAGAAAUAUUUAACCAUUCCCCAGUAGGACAAUUAAUAAAAAUUCAAAAAAUUUCUUCCCUUAUUGGUGAUAGUAUAGACAUUGUAAAAAAAAAAAUUAUAAAAAUUUUUAGCAAGAUUUUAUUUCAGUAGCCAAUCAAAUAUUCUAUAGCAUAUUAAAUUUCUUAGAAUUGUUAAAUUACAAUAAGAAAUUUAUGCCAAAAUCUUAGUACAUUAAUAAGACCAUUAUAUAAUAAAUUAAGUAAAAAUGGACAAAAGUAUUUUAAAUUUUAUAGUGAAUAUAUUAAAUUAAUACAAAAACUUAAAGAAAUAGGAUUUUUUUUUUCUCUACAUCAUCAUAUGUUAAUUCCUCAUUAUUACAUAAUUCUUCAAAUAAUUCUUCAUCUAAACAUUUUUAGGAUUAUUAAAUAUUAAUUCUAUAAUCUUAUCUCUAAUAUUAUGUAGAGUUUUCUCUUUAUCUGUAUUUAAAUUUUUUACUAUAGCCAUAUUUAUUUCUAUUUCUUCUUCAUUUUCUUCUAAUUAUGGAUUACCUAUUUUUCUAUAAUUAUUAAACCUCUGUGUAACUUAAUUAUGUAAUUCUUAGUGCUUUCUAUCUUGCUAUCUAUUGCAUUUUCUUCCUCCGAUAGUGAGUCAAAAAAUGCAAUAUCUACUUCUUUUUCUAUUGCUAGUGAUUUCUUUUCGUAAGGCAAAAUAUGCAUCUCAAAUUUAGGUUGUACAAAUGUUGAUUUUUUAAAGAAAUUUAUCCCAUUAGUAGUUGUUAAUAUACUACUAUUAUCUUCUAAUAUAAAAUUUAAUCCUAAAAUAAACUUAUAUCCUACUUUUUUACAACAGAUAAAUGUUUGAGGAACUCUAUUAACGGUUUCUCUAAACUCAUUCAUUUACUGUUAAUUUUAUUAAAUUUAAUUGUAUUUGUAAAUCUCUUUGUGUAUUUUUAAUAUUUUUUAUUUCAACUUUUAAAACUUCUACAAGACUUUUGAUUUAUAAUUCUACUAGUUUAGGUGCUUUUAUGUCUAAUAAUUUUAUUAAUUCUAUUAUUUCUUUUUUAUUACGGAACCUUGUAAUUUGACUAUUAAAAUCAGCUAAUGACUCUUUAAUAUAGUCUAAAUUCUUUCUUCGUGUAUUUUAUGUUACUUGCUUCAAAAAAUUGUCCUAACCGUAAUACUAGUUCUUUAAGCUUUUCUAGUUUAACUUCUAAGUGCUGUCCAAGAUUAAUUAUUAAGUCUAUUGUUGACCAUUACUCGUAUAUGGAAUAUGUUUAUAUUGAUUUUCUAAAUGCUCUAUAUUAUGAUUAAGUUUAAUUUUAUUUUCCUAUGACUACUAAUUUGUAAAUCCAAAUAUGCUAGUUUUUGAAAAUUCAUAAACUAAUUCUUUAACUAUUCUAGUUUAUUUCUAAUUUUAAAAAUUACAUUUUCAUAAUGAUCUAAUAAAUUUAGUUGUCUAUUGUAACUAUAUUUUACUAUAGAUAAGUGUGUAAGAGUGUAAUAUCUAACACUGACUUUUUUUUUUUUUAAUCAUUAUAGGGUCUAAUGGAUUUUUUUUUUAAUCAUUAUAGGGUCUAAUGGAGAUGUGUAAUCUACUAGAAGUUUAUUAUUUUCUAAUCUUUUUUCUAUUAAAUUAUUUAAUAUAGAGUGUUCUGCACUAAUUUCUACUUUUUUCUAGCUCUACAAUUUUUAAAGCAAUUUCUAAUUUUUCGGUAAAAGGAUUAAUCACAAAUACCCACAGCCAAAUUUGCUUUUGAAAGACUUGGAUUUUGCAGUCUUAUGUGUGACAUUUGUGCUGUGUUAUCUAUGGCCGCAUCCAAUCAUAUCUUACUAAAUUUUUGUACCGCGCUACCUAAAAUUUUCCCACUACCGGUAAUUUGAUAAGAGUCUUUGUCUUCUUCAGUCAGGCACGAAAAAAAAAAUGUUGGUUCAGAUCUAACUAUUCAAUCAAGAGCUAGCUCAGGACAAAAAGAAGUGUGCAAUUAGGGGACGAUACCGUAGACAGACAAUAGACAAAUUUUUCUUUGAAUGGUUUACUUUUGACUAAAUGAUCGGUGAUCCAACACCACUGAUCGUUUUUCAAAGGGACCCAUGUUAUGGAUGAAAAUUGAUAAAACUUGAACCCUAUUUUUUUUUCCCCCUCUCCGUUGUGUGAAUCAACCUUGGUUAAUUAAACUCACCGAAAUUGGAGGGGGAAAAAAUCUUGAAAAUACAUAAUAAUCUGCUCCAUUUCUACUUAAAAACUUUCUCUUUUAUGCAUCAUACUGGCCUUAAAUUCUUGCAGCAGAAAGCAAAACGCAGGGACCAUAAAGCCAUCAAUAGUUCUCUAAAUUUCCAAAUAUAUGCAACAACAAUAGUCAGUACACAAACUACUUUCAGGAGAUUUAUUUAACAACUUAGAAACGAGAUGUAAUUUGUAUUUAAAAUAUAAAUCAAUGACUAUAAGCUUAUUAUAACAAGCAUAGGAUGUGACCAGCCUAUUUUUCUUUAGCAAUAAAAUGAGGUUCCACAAGCUGCCUGGACAUAGGGUGUGUUUGGGAGAGCAGCUGCCUAUAUUCUAGGAGGAUAUGCCAGUGCGGCUGCCUCAAACGUAGGGAUGACAAAUAUUCAAUUAUGGAUGGAUAAUAUCCAUCCAAACACAAAUCCAUAAUUAUCCAUAAUGGAUAUAUCCAAAUCCAUACACAAUAUUUAAUAUUGGACAUGUAUAUGGAUUUUAUCCAUAUAACUAUGGAGAUCCAUGGAUAUCCAUGGAUAUUUUAUUUUUAUUAUAUAAAAAUAAUAAUCUAAAAUAGUUAAAAUUUCAAUAUUAAAUUUGGUUAUUAAACUAUUUAUAUUACUAAUAAUAUAUAUAUAUAUAUAAUAAAAUGGAGGUCCGGCGACGGUUCGGCGAUGUCCGACGGUGGUCCGGCAACUUUCCGGCGAAUUCAGGCGGAGCUCCGGCAACUUUCCGGCGAAUUCCUGCGGAGGUCUAGCGAAAUUCCGGCGAGGUCCGGUGGUGGUCCAAUGACUUUCCGGUGGAUGUCCAUUUAUAAUAUUAAAUUAAUAAAAUAAAAUAAUAAUUAUUAAUAGUCUGCUGUAUUUUUAUAAUUGUUUGUUUAUUAUAUUUUUUAUUUUUUAUUUUAUAAAAUUAAAAUUUUUUAAACUUGUUUUGAGUUAAACGGAUAUCCAUUGGGUAAAUAUAAUUAUCUAUAUCCAUCCAUAUUCAUCUGGAUAUAAUUUUAAAAUAUCCAUUUCAAAAUCCAAAAUUUUUUGGAUGGAUAUUAUCCGAUCCAAUUGGAUGGAUAUUGUGGAUAUCCAUUAUGAAGCGAUCCAGUUGCCAUCCCUACUCAAAUGCACACAUAAUUGUGGGGCGCUCUGUCUAGACGUUUCUGUAUUCCUUGUAGAAUGAGAGAAAGUUCCUUUCACAGCGGCCAUGAGCAAUUUUAUGAAUGAAGUUGCCUGGAUGAAUAGAGCUGCCCUACUAGGCUUAAUGAGUGACAUUUUUCAAGUCAUCAGCCAUAGACAAAAGGCUUCAACUUUAUGCUUGAAAAGCUCUGGUUGAGAUGGCACGCUGAAGUAUUGUUGGCUUGCUCUUACUAUCUGUCCAUGGCUACCAGAAAAUGAGAAAAUUCUUUUUACAAUGUCCUGGAAUAAUUUUAAAAAUCGAGCUGCUUUAAUGAAUGGAGCUACUCGUUUCUGCUCAAAGAGUAAUAAAUCAUCGGCUGUGAGAACAAAGGCUAUAAUAAAUCAUCAACUUUUGUAAGCGCUUGAAUGGUUCCUGUUGAGGUAGGGAGGUCAGAUGAAAAAUGGUCAAUUCUCCAACUCCAAGUCAACGAAUAUGCGUCUCCUAAUGAUUCAUAGCAAUCGUCACAUGAUUUCUUGACGAGCGAGAUAUACUGCUUCCCAUGUUAUAGUUUAUAGGGUGAUUAUGAUAUAUGUAGACCAGGGGUUACGCCUUGACCUUGACCUUGGAUACUUUGUUGAUGAUUUAAUUCUAGCAAUGUCUGAUGGGUCUCAUUUGACAAUUAAUAACAAUCCUGCUACCAGAUACCUGCUCAUCAUGGCUGGUCUUGUGGAGGUAUUACCCCCAAACAGGCUCCAUCGAAUACAAAGCAAGAACCUCAGAGAUAAACUGUUUUGCUCCAUAACACCAGAAUUAAUAGCAUCAAAGAAUAUCCCAAAAUCAUAGAUAGUUGCAUUUUGAGUCUUUGUAGAGCAAAAAUCAUUAGAAAAUGUGUAGCCUGGCCCAUUUAGUUUGUUUAUAUGAAUUCUUCCUUUCUUUAAUCAAUGCAUACAAUCGCUUAACCUUUAGCAAAUGUUGGACAAUAAACAGUUUCAUCACAGAGAAAAAUUUCUGGCCACUCAUCACGUUACUAUAAACUAAAAGCACCAACACCUGAACAGUUUGUACACCAUAAAGAUAGAAUUAUCAAUUAUGAAAUAUGAUUCCAUAUGAAAAGAAAAAGAAAAUUACAACCUAUGUGUGCUUGCUAGGAAUCCAACAUAAAUUGGUUUGGGCGUCCAUAGGUGUGCGCGCGUGCCCUUGCUUGGCUAAUUGGAACAAAUAAGUAAAAAGUACGACAGAACAAACAUUUACCUGUGGGAGUGGAAGAAUGAUGGCGAGAUCAAAUAGGAAGACGGGCAACAGAGAUAUGCUAUAAUUUCGAUGCCAAUUCUCCCAUAGUUGAAAAGCAUUAUUUAUCAAAAAAUAUAUAUCACAUCCUGUGCGUUCAACAAUACCCACCCUCAAAACCCAUAUGUCAAAUUGGAAGCACUUUUUGUCAUCGUUGAUCACGGGAAGGUACAAGAAAACAGGAUCAAAUACCAUGGAAUACACAUAAAUCAGCAAAAAAUUAACUUCCAGGAAACGUUUCGGCAGAUCACGAAUCUGCUGAAGGGAUGUUUUUUCUCCAUUACUCAAGCUUUCGAUCCGAGUGCGAUAAACAGAUUUUCCUGCUUCUCUCGCGCUCCUACUGAUGCUGUCCAUUUCAACACUAGCAACCCGUCUCGGCGUUCCUUCCUCUAAAUUCAAGUCCCGAGACUUCAUCGUCAUCACCAUAUACGAUAAUUGUAAUAAUACAUAGCUUGCACUUCAGCUCAGUAGGGCUCUAUACGUAUGUCAUUAAAUUAAUAGACAACUCGCUUAAGGCUUACAUAAUCAACGAAGGGGAAGGGAAAUUUAAGUAAAUGAAGCAAAGCUUGAUUUCAGUUUCCUUCAAUUAAAUACAGGUGGAUCCUUCACAAAUCAUCACUUCAGUGGCUGAGUCUUCGGAGUUCAGAGCAUGCUUAUCUUAUGUGCUAAUAAGUAUCUAGACACUGUGGUUCCUCAAGACUUUGACUUCAUGCACAAUUAAUCAAACAACCAAAAAAAAAAAAUUUCCAAUAAAUAUGUAAUUUCUGUAGCACCUUUUGAUUGAGUUGGGGCCGCAGGCAACUAAUAGUUACGACUUGAGGUUAGAACUUAUCCAUAUGCACAUUCUCAAUCUACGGUUCAUUAACCAAAAUUUUGGCCCCGAGAGGCUGCAAGCCUUAUCACGUCCCUCGUGUUUUUUGCUCACUAGUAGAAUUGAGUCUUUGUGCUUAUUGCUCAAGAUAAAUGUAAGCCUUACAAAUAUGAACUUGUUAAGAAUCCAAAUCCAAACUUGUGAACAAUGUCACGAUGCCCAUUACAAAUUUGAGCAAUGGUAGGAACAGUCGGGGCCUGCGUCCCCGGUCGCUUUAGAAAAUUUUUGAAGACCUCUGACCUUACUUCCUUUGAUUUUAUAAAAAUAUCCCAUUUGAGUUUUAAAAUUAUGAAAAGUUCAGUGCUUAUCUCUAGUUCAAAAAUUGAACUUACUUACUGCUAGUUCAAACACUGAAUUUUUGUGUAAAAAAUAAAUCAAUGGUCAUAUAUUGUUAUUUAAAUUCUUAUGAAAUUGUAUUAUACUAAUAAGGGUUUAAAAUGGAGAUAAAGAAAUCUCAUUUGUUAAAGACUAAUUCUCACCCUUUAUUAUUAUUUGAACUCAGAUGACUGCGGGUGCAAAACAUUUUUUCAGUCAGCUGAAUUUCAUUAAGAGAUGACAUUGUAUUAUAUGUUGAAUUUGAUCCAAUCGAAAAUUUUUUCUGGCUCGUCACUCUCAGACAUAACUUAGUUCACUAUAUGAGCAUAUUACGUGAUUGAAUUUCAUUGUCUUUUGUUGAUUCUCUGACCAUCUUAUGAUGUCUAGAUUGUAGUAUAUAAACCAGGUAAUAGAAGUCUAAAUACUUUGUAUAUAAAUUUUAAUGUCAUACUGUAAUUACUGUCUGCCAAUACUAUUGUAUUUUUCACUUUUACAGUCAGAAAAUUGUGCUGGGGCUUACUUAUGAUACGAGAAAUGUCUCAUUUUUAUCAAAAGAAAAUUACACUGCAAUAUACGUCCGUGGCAGGCAAACAAAGGACGGUUAAGGUAUCUUCAUCUGGAUUUGUAAUCUCGUUGAUGUAGAGUUUUACAUCAUUAAAGAUUCCGCCACGUGUCACACAUGAACGAAUCUGGCACGUGCCGACCACAAUCUCCCAUCUCAUUAUGUUCCUUCCAGUUUUCUCUCACUUUCUCGCGACAGAAAGUGUCGAACUCAAUAACAAAUAAAAAUUUCACAAACCCUUUUUCAAGUGCAUUGCAUAAACACUUUCUCACUCCCUGAAAAGUUGUUAAAGGUACAAUUUUUAACACCCUUUCUGGUUAAAAAAAAAAUGCAUUUCUGAUUCUACCAGGCACUUGAACAGGCUUCGGUUUCUUUGGUUUUGUAAAUUAAUGGUAAAACAAAUUAAAGAUUAAAGCUUUUAGGGGUUUGCUUGCUUCUUGCUGUUCAUUUUGGUUUCGCAAUUAUUAAAUUUUUAAUUACAGUUCUCGUACAUUCGUGCAUUGAUUUUUUUUUUUAUUAAGAUUCAUUCAAUAUCGUGUUUGUGUUAGGUGCUUGGUUCUUAUAUGUUGUUGGGUAUUGGUGAAUGAAUGAGAUGACAAUCUGUUCAUAAUUAUUAUUAGGCAAUGGUAAAAAGAAAAAAAAUUAAUUCUGUUAGUUUGGUUGGUGAGAGUAGUCGAAAAUAUUUAAUGAACUACGAAUACUUGCGAAUGGGUGAAUCACGUAAUCUUAAUUUUUGUGAAGCCGUGUAUUCGCAAAGGCAAGUGUGUGGGCGUUAGGGGUGGGCAAAUUCGGUUUGGAUCGGUUUGAAAUAUUUUCAAACCGAUAUCAACCUAAAAUUUUUUCAAACCGAACCGAUCCAAACUGAUUGGAUCAGUUUGGAUCGGUUUGGAUCCUCGGUUUGAGCUUAUUAGCUAAAAGCCCACUUCUUUUAUAUUAUUUUACCUAAAUUAUUUGUUUUUUUUUGUGUCCGUAAUCCAAAUUGAUACCUCUUUUAUAUUAUUCAUAUCUACUUUGAUAUCUACAUAACAAUUCAAAGAUACAUCCAUACAAGUUUGCAGCAUAAUACAUCCUAAUAAAGAUGUUCUUAACAUGUUCAUUCAAAACAAACUCACAAAAUUAAAAUAAACUUAAACAACAUUUGACAAUUAAAAUAUUGUGCAUCUUGUCCGUCAAAACUUAUGGCCCAAUUACUUUUGAUUUGUCAAAAUCUGCAUAAAAUGAUAAAUAUAAUUAGUUAGAUUGCUUAACUUAGAAUAUAAUGUAAUUAUAUAAUAUUUCUAGAUUGGAUCGGUUUGAAUCGGUUUGGAAUCCUUCCAAACCGAAAUCCAAACCGAGUGAUGUCGGUUUGCAAUCCAAUAAACUAAAAUCAGUUUUUUUACUAAUGAAACCGAUCCAAAUGAUCGGUUUGGAUCGGUUCGGUUAAAAUAUGCCCACUCCUAGUGGGCGUGGUUGAUAGGAAACUGAGAAGCACAAAUGCACAACAACUUCUUUCACAAUUUUUAAAUUUUGAAUUGAUUGCACUGCACGCAAGUUUCAAAUUUUGUUAGUUACAAUAAUAAAAUCGAUAUGACUACUACAUGUCUCCAUUUUACAACAGGAGUGCACGGCACCAAUCAAAAAUUAAAUUUUUUAUUAUUUAAUAAUAAAAAAAUUCUGGAUUAAUUUUAUUGCACACCCAAUGAACAAAACAAACAAAAACUAAAAAAAAUAAAGUAAAUAUCAUUGUCGGUGGCCAUCUUUAUCCAGUCAUCAAAGAAUUGGGUAAAAUUAUUGAGUGUUUUAAGUGUAUUAUUAUUCUGUGUGUUUUUUAAAUUAUUAAUUAUUUAUUGUGGUUAUAUAUUAAUUAUUCGUAAUAAUAUUUUAUAUACAUAUUAAAAUGAAUAGAUAAAAAAUAAUACUCUUCAAGUACCAAAGAAUUUUUCUCUCUUAUAAAUUGAAUCCAAUAAUUUAGUUAUAUUUAUCUCAUUAUCUGUAAUCUAUUAUUACAAAUAUUUAAACUUAAAACAUACAAAUCAAGAUAAUGUGAUUGUUAAAUUAAAACUCUUUCCAAAGUCAAUAAGUAAUCUUUCACAGCUUACAAGGCCUCAACUGAUGAGCAUUUAUUUAUGCAUUUUGGAUGGCCAUAGGAAUUAUAAAUCUUCCAGAGGCAUCAGAUUAAGGACGAAUUACAAUAAAUAAUAAGUAAAGCGAUUGUCACAAAAAAAAAUUUUAUUUCAAGAAUAAUUAGUGUUCAUAAAGAGUUAUGGAUGCAUUAGCGUUUAUUUAUUCAUUUCAUGUACUGAAUAAAAUGGGUGGCUAACUUAUAUUUAAAUUGUCAAAUGGUUCUGUUUCGGCAAUAUAAACUUGGUACUUAUGUUUUGGAAAAUUUUUAAGAUUAUAUAAAAUACUGUUGCUUGUUUAGGAAAAUAACUGUUUGAUGUUUUGGCAAUAUACCCAAGGUAAUGUUGCACUCCGUUCUAUUGAUAUCUGUAGUUCUAUUAAUCUUUUGAUAAUCAUUUUUUUGAAGUUUGACAGCUUCAGAAACGAUAUUAAUCUCAAUUGUUUUUAUCAUUAAGUUCAAACUUUGAAUUUUCUACUUAAUGAUGUUUUGAGAAGUGGGAAAUUUGUUGUUUAUGCUUUAGAUUGCAUAAGUCCAGACACAAGAUUUGGUUAUGGAAUUGAAUGUAUCCUGUGAAAUCUUUUUACGAUUGAGGGUUCUUUUCUUGGUUACAGUGGUGUCAUUGGGUUUCUGAUAUGCUCAACAGAGGGACCUCAUGUUGAUUUUGCGAACCCCAUUAAUCCUAUUGAGAAGUUGGAUGGAGCUGACAAGCAUAAAAGAGAAUUAAGGUUCUAUACCUCAGAGGUAAAGGCUCCUCAUUUCAAGUCUAGCUUUCCUUGGUCGUUGCUUCUUGAUUCUUUUUCUUAGAUAACCUAAAUGCUUGUGUGGUUGAAUUGUCAUUGAGUUAAUAUUUUGGUAGUGUUACUGUGUUAGAUGAGAAAGUAUGAUGGCCUGCAUUUAAUAUUUGUGUUGUGUUGACAGAUUCAAUUAUAUAGUUGCCUCCGCGUUGCCUGCAUUUUUGAAGAGGGAGGUGAGCGUACUUAGUGAUUCUCCAACUCCAAGUCAACGAAUCUGCGCGUCCUAAUGAUUCAUAGCAAUCAUCCCAUUUAUUUAUGAUUAGCGAGAUUUAGUGCUUCCCAUGUUAUAGUUUAUAGGAUGAUUAUGAUAUAUGUAGACGAGGGGUUACGCCUUGAGCUUGACCUUGGAGACUUUGUUGAUGAUCUGAUUAUAGCAAUGUAUCAUGGUUCUUGUUAAGUAAAUAAGAGCAUCAGCUCUGCCAUAUCAUCAUCCCCACCCCGGGGUGGGUCACCUCAGCCAAAUGGUACGAGCAGAGCACUGAUAAUGAGCCUUAUACAAGCAUGGACCGACCAAAGAUGAGUACCGGCCAGGGGGAUACACCGACCAGAGACAUAUACCGAGCAGAUACUCAUUCCCCAAAGAGCGGGAACACGAUCUCACAAGAUCUCGACAGUUGCGCUUUUCCCAGAACUGUUGAGGGAGACACGAUGUCCCAUGUUUGCCCACAAUGUAGCAGUUGGAGUCCCAUGAGGGGCUGCCAUGACCCGAGAAAGGGGGGAUGAAGGGUGAUCAGAAACGUGGGACAGCGGCUAUAAAAGAGGAAGAAACCAAUGAAAAAGAGAUAAGAAAACUGAGAGAGAGGGAAAACUCUGCCAAAAUGAAACUAGACUGUUUUUCUGCCUAAAUUGAGAGCGAAUCGUAAGCCAUUCUGAAAUCUAAAUUGAACCGUUUUCCCGUAAACACCUUGUGCUAACUUAGGCAUCGGAGGGUUUACGCCGGUAAAACCACCGGCGUCUCUGAUCCAUUUCUUUGUGAAUGCAGGAUUAGCGAGAUAAAAAGGGGUGAUUUCAACCUAGUGACGUAAGCGGUCGUUAAGGCAAGGAGAGAGUGACAUCGUCCCAUCAAACAUAUAAACGUUGGUGGAAAAUCUGGUCGGGUAAAGGGCGAGCAGAUUUCAACAUCAACAGUUCUCAUUUGACAAUUAAUACUUAUUUUAUUAUAUUAAUAGCUUACUUUUAAACUUCAUGAAAAUUAUAUGAUUAUCGUUCAAUUUAGAUUUUCUUUUAUUAUAAAAGUUUUGCCAGUGGCCAUCUUAGCGAUGGAUUGAUUAAUAAAAUUUUCCCAUUAUAGGAUGGAAUAAAUAUUAAAAUCAGGAACACACUAAUUUAAUAUCAUUCGAUGUAUCUCUACUAGUUAUAAUUUCUAUUAUCUUCAUCAUCCAAGUCACCUAAGAAUUUUCCCAUCUUUACUGAGUGCUGACAGUGCCACAAGCAAGCCAAGAUAUUAGUUUGUUAAGUUCUCUUGUGAGUCAACUCUGCGCGCGUGUGUUAGAGCUUGGUAAUUCCAUUACGGACUGAAGUUUAGCAGUUAAAUGCUUACUCCCUUGGUGUACGCAUAAUUUCUGAAUGAUACAUUUUGCUGGAAAAGAGACGGUCCAUACUGCCAUCCGAACUAGAAAUUAGGACAUAGAAAAUAUAUAUAAUCAAACACUAUAACGGAGUAAUGCUAACUUCAUAUAUAUACACAUCAACUGUAUCAGGCUUCGGUUUCGAAUAUCUCAAACUCAUAUACUUCCGUCCAAAUUUAUUCUUGGGAUAGGUCCUUAAUUAAGAUCAUGAACACGCCCUAAAAUACUAACGAUGCCGCAUCUGAUCUGAAUGCUCAAACUAUUAUUUUAGUAGCCGACGCUUGCGCACUCCAUCUAGUUUGUCAGAAUACUUGCAUACGGUAGCUGCAUUGUUUUGCUUAAUUAUCAAUAUUCAAUAGUACCUGCUUUAAAUCAUAUGCCAUAAGAACAAAUGCUUCAACUUUUGUAAGCGCUUGGAUUGUUUUAGUUGAUAUAGGGAGGUUGGAUGAGUUGUGGCCAGCCUUCGCCCAAGCAAUGAGUUCUUCUCCAGAAAAGUCACCACCUUCCAGAUGGUUGUUCAGGUUACCAGAAUUGCUUGAUAAUUCAGUUACCCUCCUGGAAGUGUAGGUCCAUAACUUGCCUUGUAGCACGAAGAGCAUUUGAUCAAUUGGGUUUUCCUCCUGGAUAAUGUAAGAGCGCUCUGUGAAGACAGCUGGCUUCACAACAUCACACAGUUUCUCCAACGAUGAACCAUCCAAGUUUCCAAACUCUUCUACCUAUACAAACAUACAUCCAAUAUUGUUACUGUAAUCUAAAAGGCUCAAUGCUGAUAAUGAAAUUCAGCUUCUGAAUGCAGAAAAUUGAAAAUAAAAGUUGAUCUAGAACUAUCUCAGCUAAAAUGAGAUUCAUUCCCCAACGCUAAAAACAUAUCAGGGUUGAGUUUAUGUUGAGGUGAUGUGGACUUUAGCUAUUGCGCUUUCAAAACCAUGCAAAAGUUCAAAUAGUUACAAACAUUUACCCUUGAGUUUAUUCGAUCGAGUUAAAGAAGAGGAAAAUAUUUUCAUUAGUUUUUCGGAUUGUUGUUUAUAUGCUGCUAGCCUCUCCUUUGUCAGUUCCACAAAUUCAGAAGUAGGAGGCACAAAUAUAGUUGUAAAGAUCUCUUACUCACUUUUUUUAGCAGGUCUAAGCAGAGUUUUUGUUUUAUGUUCUUCCUGAGGUCCUCUGGAAGAUUGUUCACCAGAUAUUCUACAUCAAUACCUGUGGUUUCUUGCACUUUGGAUAACUGAUGUUCCUUGAUCUCCAUUUGGAGUUUCUCAGGGAGCUUUUCAACGGGCCGCCACUUGUAUAUUUCUUGUACCUUCUGUCUUAUCUCCUCUGCUUUUGACAUUUCAGACUGCAAAUUGCGCAAGAAUCAUAGUUCAUAGAAAAUUAAAAUUUAUUGUGCUUCAUCUCAAUCAACCAUAAAGAACCCAUUUUAAGAGACAAGAAUCAGACGAGAAAAUAAAAUAAAAUAAAAUAAAAUAAAGAUACACCAACCUGGACCUUUCCAAUCAAGAAGAAAAACAGCACUACCCCAGUGAUGGUAAUUGAAAUCACAAAGAUGUUUUCCAAGACAUUGGUACUGAAUGGGAGACCUUGACCAAAAGAACUGCAAAGUCAAACCCACAAAUUUAUUAGAACUAAUGUUUUUGAGUUUAAUUGCUAAAAAAACAUAAAAAUACGUAUGCGUAAUUAUAUGCACCAAAAACAUAGAAAGGCAUAUGCACAAAGAUUGUUACAAGGAGAAUGAUGUAUAUCCACAACUUAACCUGAGAUUUUGCAGGCUCCAUCGAAUACAAGGGAAGAACCUCAGAAAUAAAUUGUUUUGCUCAAUAACACUAGAAUUAAUAGCAUCAUAGAAUAUCCCAAAAUGGUAGGUAGUUGCAAUUUGAGUCUUUGUAGAGCAAAAAUCAUUAGAAAAUGUGUAGUUUGUUAAACUGUUGUCACAGUGUAAGGGAAGGAGACGGCAUUUGGCAGAAUCUGUGCAGGCUUUCCUCCAACAUUCGGUCUUUCUUUGUAGAGCAAAAAAGUACCAUAAUGCUCCAAACCCCUAAACAACCAUCAAUUAGAUCAUCAGGAAUUAUAAAUUACCCAAAAAGAGUAAAGAGAAAUAGAAUAUAUUGGAGACUUGGGAGGCAAGUAAACUUACAUUAGCAGCAUGUAGGUAAAAGAGAUUGAACGUGAGCCUGGCCCAUUUAGUUUGUUUAUAUGAAUUCUUCCUUUCUUUAAUCAAUGCAUACAAUCGGAUAACCUUUAGCAAAUGUUGGACAAUAAACAGGUUCAUCACAGAGAAAAAUUUCUUGCCACUCAUCACGUUACUAUAAACUAGAAGCACCAACACCUGAACAGUUUGUACACCAUAAAGAUAGAAUUAUCAAUUAUGAAAUAUGAUUCCAUAUGAAAAGAAAAAAAUUACAACCUGUGUGCUUGCUAGAAAUCCAACAUAAAUUGGUUUGGGCGUCCAUAGGUGUGCGCGCGUGCCCUUGCUUGGCUAAUUGGAACAAAUAAGUAAAAAGUACGACAGAACAAACAUUUACCUGUGGGAGUGGAAGAAUGAUGGCGAGAUCAAAUAGGAAGACGGGCAACAGAGAUAUGCUAUAAUUUCGAUGCCAAUUCUCCCAUAGUUGAAAAGCAUUAUUUAUCAAAAAAUAUAUAUCACAUCCUGUGCGUUCAACAAUACCCACCCUCAAAACCCAUAUGUCAAAUUGGAAGCACUUUUUGUCAUCGUUGAUCACGGGAAGGUACAAGAAAACAGGAUCAAAUACCAUGGAAUACACAUAAAUCAGCAAAAAAUUAACUUCCAGGAAACGUAUCGGCAGAUCACGAAUCUGCUGAAGGCAUGUUUUUCCUCCAUUACCCAAGCUUUCGUUCAGAGUGCGAUAAACAGAUUUUGCUGCUUCUCUCGCGCUCCAACUGAUGCAGUCCAUUUCAACACUAGCAACUCGUCUCGGCGUUCCUUCCUCUAAAUUCAAGUCCCGAGACCUGAAAAAAUAAAGUCAACUUCAUCGUCAUCACCAUAUACGAUAAUUGUAAUAAUACAUAGCUUGCACUUCAGCUCAGUAGGGUUCUAUACGUAUGUCAUUAAAUUAAUAGACAACUCGCUUAAGGCUUACAUAAUCAACGAAGGGGAAGGGAAAUUUAAGUAAAUGAAGCAAAGCUUGAUUUCAGUUUCCUUCAAUUAAAUACAGGUGGAUCCUUCACAAAUCAUCACUUCAGUGGCUGAGUCUUCGGAGUUCAGAGCAUGCUUAUCUUAUGUGCUAAUAAGUAUCUAGACACUGUGGUUCCUCAAGACUUUGACUUCAUGCACAAUUAAUCAAACAACCAAAAAAAAAAAAUUUCCAAUAAAUAUGUAAUUUCUGUAGCACCUUUUGAUUGAGUUGGGGCCGCAGGCAACUAAUAGUUACGACUUGAGGUUAGAACUUAUCCAUAUGCAUAGUCUCAAUCUACGGUUCAUUAACCAAACUUUUGGCCCCGAGAGGCUGCAAGUCUUAUCAUGUCCCUCGUGUUUUUUGCUCACUAGUAGAAUUGGAUCUUUGUGCUUAUUGCUCAAGAUAAAUGUAAGCCUUAACCUGAGAGCUUGCAGGCUCCAUUGAAAACAAGGCAAGUACCUCCGAAAAAAAUAGUUUUGAUCCAAAACACCCGAUUGAAUAGCAUCACGGAAUAUCCCAAAAUCAUAGAUAGUUGCAUUUUGGGUCUUUGUAGAGCAAAAAUCACUAAAAAAUGUGUAGUUUGUUAAACUGUCAUCGCAGUGCAAAGGAAGGAAAUCACAUCUGGUAAAAUCUGUGCAGGCUUUCUUCCAACAUUCAGCCUUUCUUUGUACAGCGAAAAAGUACCAUAAUGAUCCAAACACCUAAAGAACCGUCAAGUAGAUCACCAGGAACUAUAAAUUACCCAAAAAACAGUAAAGAGAAAUAGAACAUUUUGGAGACUUAAGAGGCAAGUAAACUUACGUUAGCAGCCUGUAGGUAACCGAAAUUGAACGUCAGAUUGGCCCAUUUAUUAAGGUUAUAUGAAUUCUUCCAUUCUGUAAUCAAUUUAGCCAAUCGGAUAACCUUUAACCCAUGUUGUACAAGAAACAGGUUCAUCAGAGAGAAAAAUUCCUGGCCACUAAUUCUUUGACUAUAAGCUAGAAGCACCAACACCUGAAUAGUUUGUAAAUAUUAAAAAAAAAAGAAAAUUAAUCGUACAAAAUACAACCUAUACAUGCUUGUGUCAAGGAAGCUCAUUAUGCAUGGAAGGAUGCAGCACACGUGUGAGAUGAAUACAGUCAGCUGAAUCAAUUGAAGAGUGAAGUGCCAGCUCAGCUGAAGUAAGUUAGACACGUUAAGAUCAUAUUCAGUUAGCUUCUUUAUUUUCUGUUAAGCUGUAAACAACUGAGUAUAAAUACAAGCAUCUUGUAAUCAUUUUGUUAUUAAGUAAAAUGAAAUAAAGCAUUUGAUUCAGAAGUCUUUUACAAAUUUUCUUAGCACUUUAAAUACAUUUUCUCAGUAACCAAACAGUCUAUUCAUUCAAGCUUUUAAGCUUUCAAACAUGGUAUCAGAGCCAUACAGAGCUAGUUCUAGUAAUCAACAGUCAAGCUUUCGUAAUCAAACAACAAACAACACAAAUCAAUCUACUCAAAUCAACUUCUCCUUUACUAAUCCUAUCAAGCUAGAUCGAUCAAAUUACUUACUCUGGCGCUCUCAAGUUUUAGCUUCAAUAAGAGGCAAUCGUUUGGAAGAUUUCGUCACAGGAGCCAAAUCAGUACCUGAUAAGUGUCUUCUGUUAACUGAAGCAGAUGGAUCUACACAACAAAUUGAAAAUCCAGAAUAUCAGAUCUGGAGAUCACAGGAUCAGACACUUCUUGGCUGGCUACUGUCGUCAUUAAGUGAAGGUAUCUUAAGUCUUGUAAUCAAUUGUGAGAGUUCAUUUGAUAUAUGGAAAACUUUGGAAAAGAAAUUUGGAGUUCAAUCUGAAGCUCGAGUUCUUCAGCUCAGAUAUGAACUAAACAUUCUUAAAAAGGAAGCUCUUAGUGUUGAAGAUUAUUGUAUUAAAAUAAAAGCAAUAGCUGAUAAGCUAGCCAAUGCUGGUAGUUCAAUUACAGAGAAGGAUCUUAUGUUAACUAUUCUUAAUGGAUUAGGACCAGGAGUUCGUGAUAUUGCUACAUUUAUAAAUGGUUCACGAAUGGAAUUUGAUGAUGCUUAUGCACUGUUACUCACUCAUGAGACUAGAUUAGAGCAGGAGCAAGGUGACAGAAGUAUGUUUAAUGCAAACUAUGCAUAUACGAAUGCAUAUUAUCCUAGAGCUUAUUUUGCACAACGUAGAGGAAGUUUUAAACGAGGAGGUUAUUCUGGUGGUAGAACUCCUUUCUUUGGCAGAGCAAAUAUGAAUUACUCUCCAAGAAUAUUUAAUGGAGGUGUUAGAAAUGGAUAUGGCAGAGGAUUUUUUCCUAGAAAUAACUCAGCUGAUUUCAAUCAUUUUUCAGCUCCUAGGAAUCCAGUACCUAAGAACUCAUCCUUUCUAGCUAGAAAUGGUGCUAAUAUGAGUGGAUCACAAGGAAGCUUUAAUAAUGCUGGGGAGCUGGUAUGUCAGAUUUGCUUUAAGAAUGGUCAUACUGCUGAUGUUUGUUGGCACAUAUUUAUUGAAGACUUUGUACCUGUUCCAAGAGGUUUUGGCAGGGAAAAAACACCAAGAGCAGCAUAUUUCUCAAACUUUGAUGGCUCUACUUCUAAUCCAGAUUUUGGCUAUGAAAAUAAUAAUAUGUUUCCAGGUUAUGAUUCUAUAUCUGGCAAUAGUUACUAUUCUGGAAUGGAUGGAUAUACUUCUGGAGCAGCUGGAACAGCUUUCAUGGCUAAUUUUGAAGGGACUGCUGAUGAUGGAUGGUAUCUGGAUAGUGGGGCAACUCACCAUUUAACCAACAAUAUGGAGAAUUUGCAUAUCAAUGAAGAGUUUAAAGGUACUGAUCAGCUUAUCAUUCGAAAUGGUCAAGGUUUGUCUAUUACUCAUGUUGGACAUGCAUUUCUGGUAUUAAGAGCUUCUAAAUCUUUAUCUACACAUGCUAGAAUAACACUUAAAGAUGUGUUACUUGCUCCUUCAAUUGCCAAAAAUCUAUUAAGUAUUUCCAAACUCACAUCUGAUAAUCCUGUAUCUGUUGAAUUUUGUGGAAAUGUUUGUUUUGUGAAGGACAUAAAGGGUCAAGUUCUUCUGCAGGGUAUUGCUGAAAAAGGCCUUUACAAGCUGCUGCUGAAAUCUAAUUCUCUUUCUUCAUCACCUACAUCUUAUCUUUGUAAAUCCCAACCAAAUAAACCAGUUUCUAUGUUAUCUGCUUUCAAACACUGUGAUAAUAGUACUCGAGCUUAAGAGGAUAGAUCCAAGAGUACCUAGUAUAAUCAUCCACAAAACUAAUAUAGUAUUUGUAUCCAUCUCUAGACACAGUGGGUGAAGGCCCCCAAAGAUCAGUAUGAAUCAAUUCUAAUACCCCUUUUGUUUUUGUUUCAGUUAUUGAGAAAUGUUGCUUAUGGACUUUGCCUAGCUGACAUGCUUCACAUAAAGUAUUUGCAGAAGAUAACAUGUCUUUUGGAGAGACUUUAAACUGUUUACAUGAUUUGAGCAAAUGCACCAAUGUCAUUGAGCUUGGAUGACCAAACUUUCUAUGUAACAAAGUUAUCAUAUCAGGUUUGACAUUACACUUAUUUAAAACAAACUGAUAGCAAGCUCGAGUACUAUUAUCACAGUGUUUGAAAGCAGAUAACAUAGAAACUGUUAAAUCACAAGCAUUUGAAGUUUUUAAAUUGUUCAAAACUCAAGUUGAGAAUCAGUUUGAUACCAAAAUUAAGAGGCUACAAUCUGACCUUGGGGGAGAGUUUAGAGCAUUUAUUGAUUUUCUGAAUCAAAAUGGAAUAAUGUUUAGACACUCAUGUCCUUACACUCAUCACCAGAAUGGUCUUGUUGAGAGGAAACACAUGCAUAUAGUUGAGCUAGGCUUAACCCUCAUGGCUCAAGCAAACCUUCCUUUUCAAUUCUGGUGGGAAGCUGUUCAUACAGCAGUGUAUCAUAUUAAUAGAUUGCCUACCCCUGUUCUGAAAUUCUUAUCUCCUUAAGAGAAACUUUUCAAACACAAACCAGAUUACACAUUCCUGAAGUGUUUUGGUUGUCUUUGCUACCCAUACUUGAGAGAUUUUAACAAACAUAAGUUUGAUUUUCACACCUCUAAAUGCAUUUUUAUUGGAUACAAUCCCUCUUAUAAAGGAUACAAGUGCUUAGCAAGUUCUGGCAAAGUCUAUGUUCUUAGACAUGUCAUUUUUGAUGAAAACACAUUCCCUUAUCCAAUAAACACUACAUCUCACUCAUCAGAAAACCCCAUAUCUUCUGAAACCUCAGUGUCUAAUUUCUCUCAACAACAUAUCUAUCAUCUUUCUACAAUGGCCUUACCCAACAGCAGCUUUGAAGGUCUUCAAUCAGCAGGCUCAGCAAGAAGUGAACAAAUGCCCUCUGUUCCCACACAUACAGAUAUUCUGAAUCAACAAGAACAUCCAUCACACACAUCUUUAGAGUUAUCAUCCUCAACCUCACUAUCACCAAACACAUUACCAGUACAAUCAUCCAUUCUACAAUCAGAGGAAACUUCUAUUCCACAGAACAUAGACCAAAUUCAAACCAGAAAUCAUUCCCAACCAUCUUCUCAUCCAAUGAUUACCAGAUCAAAAUCUGGAAUCUUCAAACCAAAGGUCUAUACAGUCACCUUAGCCAACAAAGAACCUAGUACAGUUCAAGAAGCUCUUAGUAGUCAGAAUUGGCAUCAAGCCAUGGUAGAUGAGUAUGCAGCUUUGAUAAAGAAUGAGACUUGGUCACUAGUACCAUUUUCAAAUGCAUACAAAGUAGUUGACAACAAAUGGGUGUUUAGACUUAAGCAAAAUACUGAUGGAAGCAUAGCCAAACACAAGGCCAGGUUGGUUGCCAAAGGUUUUCAGCAAACUGAAGGUGUGGAUUACUUUGAGACCUUUAGCCCAGUUGUAAAAGCUUCAACGGUAAGGAUUGUUCUGAGUUUAGCUGUGAUGCAUAAAUGGAAAAUAAGGCAAGUGGAUGUGAAUAAUGCCUUCUUGAAUGGAAACUUGACAGAGGAUGUCUAUAUGUAUUAGCCUGAAGGUUUUAUUGAUCAACAAAAACCCAAUCAUAUAUGUAAGCUUAAUCAAGCCUCGUAUGACUUGAAGCAAGCUCCUAGAGCUUGGUAUGACAAGCUUAAGAAUUGUCUUAUUGCUAAUUGGAAAUUUCAGAAUUCAAAGGCUGAUACCUCUCUCUUCUUCAAAGAAGUGCAGGGUUCAAUGAUACUUAUCUUAAUCUAUGUUGAUGACAUUCUAAUAACAAGACCUGAUAAUGGUGAGCUGGAAAAAUUCAUCUAAGAAUUCAGUAAGACUUUUGCCUUAAAAGACUUGGGAAUUCUGUCAUAUUAACAUAGACAAAAUUCAAACUAGAAAUCAUUCCCAACCAUCUUCUCAUCCAAUGAUUACCAGAUCAAAAUCUGGAAUCUUCAAACCAAAGGUCUAUACAGUCACCUUAGCCAACAAAGAACCUAGUACAGUUCAAGAAGCUCUUAGUAGUCAGAAUUGGCAUCAAGCCAUGGUAGAUGAGUAUGNNNNNNNNNNNNNNNNNNNNNNNNNNNNNNNNNNNNNNNNNNNNNNNNNNNNNNNNNNNNNNNNNNNNNNNNNNNNNNNNNNNNNNNNNNNNNNNNNNNNNNNNNNNNNNNNNNNNNNNNNNNNNNNNNNNNNNNNNNNNNNNNNNNNNNNNNNNNNNNNNNNNNNNNNNNNNNNNNNNNNNNNNNNNNNNNNNNNNNNNNNNNNNNNNNNNNNNNNNNNNNNNNNNNNNNNNNNNNNNNNNNNNNNNNNNNNNNNNNNNNNNNNNNNNNNNNNNNNNNNNNNNNNNNNNNNNNNNNNNNNNNNNNNNNNNNNNNNNNNNNNNNNNNNNNNNNNNNNNNNNNNNNNNNNNNNNNNNNNNNNNNNNNNNNNNNNNNNNNNNNNNNNNNNNNNNNNNNNNNNNNNNNNNNNNNNNNNNNNNNNNNNNNNNNNNNNNNNNNNNNNNNNNNNNNNNNNNNNNNNNNNNNNNNNNNNNNNNNNNNNNNNNNNNNNNNNNNNNNNNNNNNNNNNNNNNNNNNNNNNNNNNNNNNNNNNNNNNNNNNNNNNNNNNNNNNNNNNNNNNNNNNNNNNNNNNNNNNNNNNNNNNNNNNNNNNNNNNNNNNNNNNNNNNNNNNNNNNNNNNNNNNNNNNNNNNNNNNNNNNNNNNNNNNNNNNNNNNNNNNNNNNNNNNNNNNNNNNNNNNNNNNNNNNNNNNNNNNNNNNNNNNNNNNNNNNNNNNNNNNNNNNNNNNNNNNNNNNNNNNNNNNNNNNNNNNNNNNNNNNNNNNGAAAAACAACACUACCCCAGUGAUGGUAAUUGAAAUUACAAAGAUGUUUUCCAAGACAUUGGUACUUAACGGGAGACCUUGACCAAAACAACUGCAAAAGUCAAACCCACAAAUGUGUUAGAACCAAUGUUUUGAGCUUAAUUGAUAAAAAACACAAACAUACGUAUGCUUUAAUAUAUGCACAAAAAACAAAGAAAGGCGUACACAAAAAGAUUGUUAAGAGAAGAAUGAUGUAUAUUCACAACUUAACCUGAGAGUUUGCAGGCUCCAUUGAAAACAAGGCAAGUACCUCCGAAAAAAAUUGUUUUGAUCCAAAACACCAGAUUGAAUAGCAUCACGGAAUAUCCCAAAAUCAUAGAUAGUUGCAUUUUGAGUCUUUGUAGAGCAAAAAUCACUAGAAAAUGUGUAGUUUGUUAAACUGUCAUCACAGUGUAAAGGAAGGAGGCCACAUCUGGUAAAAUCUGUGCAGGCUUUCUUCCAACAUUCAGCCUUUCUUUGUACGGCGAAAAAGUACCAUAAUGAUCCAAACACCUAAAGAACCAUCAAGUAGAUCCCGGGAACUAUAAAUUACCCAAAAAAACAGUAAAGAGAAAUAGAACAUUUUGGAGACUUAAGAGGCAAGUAAACUUACGUUAGCAGCCUGUAGGUAACCGAAAUUGAACGUCAGAUUGGCCCAUUUAUUAAGGUUAUAUGAAUUCUUCCAUUCUGUAAUCAAUUUAGCCAAUCGGAUAACCUUUAACCCAUGUUGUACAAGAAACAGGUUCAUCAGAGAGAAAAAUUCCUGGCCACUAAUUCUUUGACUAUAAGCUAGAAGCACCAACACCUGAAUAGUUUGUAGAUAUUAAAAAAAAUAUAUAUAUUAACCGUACAAAAUACAACCUAUACAUGCUUGCUAGGAAUCCAACAUAAAUUACUUUGGGCGGUCAGAGGUGUGCGUGUGUGCCCCUCCUUCGCAAGUUGGAACAAAUAAAUUAAAAGUAGACAGAACAAACAUUGACCUGUGGGAGUGGAAGAAUGAUGGAGAGAUCAAGUAGGAAGACGGGCAACAGAGAUUUGCUAUAAUUUCGAUGUAGACUCUCCCGUAUUUCUGAAGUUCUAUUUGUCAAAUACCAUAUACCAAAUGCUGAACGUUCAGCAAUAACCACACUCAUCACCCAUCUGUCAAAUUGGAAGCACUUUUUCUCAUCGUUGGUCACAGGAAUGUACAAGAAAACAGGAUCCAAUACCAUUGAAUACAAACAACACAGCCAGAAAGCCUCAUGCAGCGGAAUAUAGAGAAAUGGAACUCCAAAAACAGAUAUUUCUCUUACUUCACCCUGCGGAAUACGCAGAAAUGGACAAACAUUUAUUUCUCUUACUCCUCUCAUGAUCCUACUGGUCCUGUUCAUUUCAACGCCAGAAACCAGUCUCGACGUUCCUUCCUCUAAAUUCAUUCAAGUCCUGAGACCUUGGAAAAAAAAAAAUCAUCUUCAUCAUGGUCACCGUAUACAAUAAUUGUAAUAAUAUAUAGCCUGAUCAUAAGUUCAGUAGGACUCUAUAAGUAUAUCAUCAAAUUAAUAAACAAGUCACUUACGAAGGAAAAUUAAAGUAAAUGAAGCAAAGCUUAAAUUCAGUUUCCUUCAAUUAAAUACAGGUGGAUCCUUCACGAAUCAGCACUUCAGUGGCUCAGUCUUCGGUGGAUGCUUAUGUUAUGUGUUAAUAAAUAUCAGAGGCACGACCCAAAGACUUCGAUUUUUCAAGUCAACCAGGAACACAUAAUUAUUGUUUGGGGUCCGCUUAUAAUAUUUUCAGGCUAGCUCUGUAGCUCAAGCAUGAAAAACGGGGAAAGUAAAGUGCAAGAAAAUUCCAGAUUCUUUUUUCAAUUGUUCUUUAUACUGUGUAGCUAAUGUACAAAAGUGAAAAUGAAUCUUUGCUUGCAUUUUUUUAAAUUAGCGGCAUAAAAAGAAUGGAGUGAAAAGUACAGAGACCUUGAAUGAUCAUUGAAAGCCAUUAAAGAAUGUAGACAAAAGUUAAUUGCAUUAGAAAGUACUAAUAAUGAAUUAUUUAGACAAAAUAUAGUACUGCAAAAUCAAUGUCAGAUUUUAUUACUUAUCAGUUAUCACCAGAAAACUCAAAACACUUCAACAAAAGCAAGCACUAGAAAAAAUAUUUAACCAUUCCCCAGUAGGACAAUUAAUAAAAAUUCAAAAAAUUUCUUCCCUCAUUGGUGAUAGUAUAGACAUUGUAAAAAAAAUUUUAUUUCAGUAGCCAAUCAAAUAUUCUAUGGCAUAUUAAAUUUCUUAGGAUUGUUAAAUUACAAUAAGAAAUUUAUACCAAAAUCUUAGUACAUUAAUGAGACCAUUAUAUAAUAAAUUAAGUAAAAAUGGACAAAAGUAUUUUAAAUUUUAUAGUGAAGAUAUUAAAUUAAUACAAAAACUUAAAGAAAUAGGAAUUUUUUUAAUCUACAUCAUCAUAUGUUAAUUCCUCAUUAUUACAUAAUUCUUCAAAUAAUUCUUCAUCUAAACAUUUUUUAGGAUUAUUAAAUAUUAAUUCUAUAAUCUUAUCUCUAAUAUUAUGUAGAGUUUUCUCUUUAUCUGUAUUUAAAUUUUUUACUAUAGGCAUAUUUAUUUCUAUAUCUUCUAAUUAUGGAUUACCUAUUUUUCUAUAAUUAUUAAAUCUCUGUGUAACUUAAUUAUGUAAUUCUUAGUGCUUUCUAUCUUGCUAUCUACUGCAUUUUCUUCCUCCGAUAGUGAGUCAAAAAAUGCAAUAUCUACUUCUUUUUCCAUUGCUAGUGAUUUCUUUUCGUAAGGCAAAAUAUGCAUCUCAAAUUUAGGUUGUACAAAUGUUGAUUUUUUAAAGAAAUUUAUCUCAUUAGUAGUUGUUAAUAUACUACUGUUAUCUUCUAAUAUAAAAUUUAAUCCUAAAAUAAAAUUAUAUCCUACUUUUUUACUACAGAUAAAUGUUUGUGGAACUCUAUUAACGGUUUAUCUAAACUCAUUCAUUUACUAUUAAUUUUAUUGAAUUUAAUUGUAUUUGUAAAUCUCUUUGUGUAUUUUUAAUAUUUUUAUUUCAACUUUUAAAACUUUUACAAGACUUUUGAUUUAUAAUUCUACUAGUUUAGGUGCUUUUAUGUCUAAUAAUUUUAUUAAUUCUAUUAUUUCUUUUUUAUUACCGAACCUUGUAAUUUGACUAUUAAAAUCAGCUAAUGACUCUUUAAUAUAGUCUAAAUUCUUUCUUUGUGUAUUUUAUGUUACUUGCUUCAAAAAAUUGUCCUAACCGUAAUACUAGUUCUUUAAGCUUUUCUAGUUUAACUUCUAAGUGCUGUCCAAGAUUAAUUAUUAAGUCUAUUGUUGACCAUUACUCGUAUAUGGAAUAUGUUUAUAUUGAUUUUCUAAAUGCUCUAUAUUAUGAUUAAGUUUAAUUUUAUUUUCCUAUGACUACUAAUUUGUAAAUCCAAAUAUGCUAGUUUUUGAAAAUUCAUAAACUAAUUCUUUAACUAUUCUAGUUUAUUUCUAAUUUUUAAAAUUACAUUUUCAUAUGAUCUAAUAAAUUUAGUUGCCUAUUGUAAUUAUGUUUUACUAUAGAUAAGUACGUAAGAGUGUAAUAUCUAACACUUACUUUUUUUAAUUAUUAUUAUAGGGUCUAAUGGAGAUGUGCAAUCUACUAGAAAUUUUGUAUUUUCUAAUCUUUCUUCUAUUAAAUUAUUUAAUAUAGAGUGUUCUGCACUAAUUUCUACUUUUUUCUAGCUCUACAAUUUUUAGAGCAAUUUCUAAUUUUUCGGUUCAAGGAUUAAUCACAAAUACCCACAGCCAAAUUUACUUUUGAAAGACUUGGAUUUUGCAGUCUUACGUGUGACAUUUGUGCUGUGUUAUCUAUGGCCCCAUCUAAUCCUAUCUUACUAAAUUUUUGUACCGCGCUACCUAAAAUUUUUCCACUACGGGCAAUUUGAUAAGAGUCUUUGUCUUCUUUAGUCAGCCACGAAAAAAAAAAAUGUUAGUUCAGAUCUAACUAUUCAAUCAAGAGCUAGCUCAGGACAAAAAGAAGUGUGCAAUAACGGGACGAUACUGUCGACAGACAAUAGACAAAUUUUUCUUUGAAUGGUUUACUUUGGACUAAAUGAUCGGUGAUCCAACACCACUGACCGUUUUUCAAAGGGACCCAUGUUGUGGAUGAAAAUUGAUAAAACUUGAACCCUAUUUUUUUUUUCCCCUCUCCGUUGUGUGAAUCAACCUUGGUUAAUUAAACUCACCGAAAUUGGAGGGGAAAAAAUCUUGAAAAUAUAUAAUAAUCUGCCCCAUUUCUACUUAAAACUUUCUCUUUUAUGCAUCAUACUGGCCUUAAAUUCUUGCAGCGGAAAGCAAAACGCAGGGACCAUAAAGCCAUCAAUAGUUCUCUAAAUUUCCAAAUAUAUGUAACAACAAUAGUCAGUGUACAAACUACUUUCACGAGAUUUAUUCAAUAGCUUAGAAACGAGAUGUAAUUUGUAUUUAAAAUAAAAAUCAAUGACAAUAAGCUUAUUAUAACAAGCAUAGGGUGUGACCAGCCUAUUUUUCUUUAGCAAUAAAAUGAGGUUCCACAAGCUGCCUAGACAUAGGGUAUGUUUGGGGGAGAGUAAGAAUUCAAUGAUGUUUGGAAACAGAAAAAACUUAAGGGAAAAUAAGAGAAUUCUAAAACUCUUUCUUCGUUUUUAUUAUCUCAAGUCAUUAAUUGACUGAAUCUGUACAUACUUCUGUUUAUAUACAUCAGUAGUAAUUAGAACUGAUUCUCAACUAAUUGCAAGUGCUAAUCAGCUUUGAACACAUUGAGCUUGGAACGAAAAUAACUAAACUUAGGAAAUGACAGGGGCUUAGUAAGAACAUCUGCAACUUGCUCUUUAGUGGGAAUGUACCUCACUUCCAAUUCUUUGUUAAGAACCUUGUCUCUAAUAUAAUGAAUGUCUAGCUCUAUGUGUUUUGAUUUUGAGUGAAAAACUAGAUUUCUAGGUAGAUCUCCAGCACUCUGGUUAUCACACCAUAGAACAGAAGUUGGUAAUUUUGUGAUGUUGAGCUCAGAGAAUAAUGAUUGCAGCCAAGAAAGUUUAGAGCUGGCUGCUGACAAGGCUCUGUAUUCACUCUCAGUACUAGAUUUUGCUACAAUGGCUUGCUUUUUUGAAGACCAGGAAACCAAAUUAUUACCAAGGAAAAUGCAAUAUGCUCCAAUGGAUUUUUUGGCAUCAAUAUCACAUGCCCAAUCAGCAUCUGAAUAUCCUGUUAGUCCUAUAGUUUCCAGAGUUCCCUCCUGCUAAAUAUAGAGACCAUAUGUGACAGUAGCUUGAAGGUAUCUGAGCACUUUUUUACAAGCUAACCAGUGUUGAAGUGUAGGAGCACUGAGGUACUGACUAAGCUUAUGCACUAAAUAUGCAAUGUCUGGUGUGGUUAAGAUUAAGUAUUGCAAACCUCCAACAAUGCUUCUAUAGAGGGUUGGAUUCUCAAAUUCAGCACCCAAUAAGCCUUUUGUUGACCUUUCCAACUUGUAGCCUGUGCUGAAAGGAGUGUCAGUUCCUUUGUAGUCUUGCAUUGAGGCUUUGGACAGCAGAUCCUUGAUGUACUUGGUCUGAGGGAAGUGCAUUCCAUGAUCUGUAUAGCUGACUUCUACACCAAGGAAAUAUGUUACUAGACCCAAGUCUUUUAAUGCAAAAACUUUGCUGAGCUUAGCAAUAAAAGAUUCCAGCAAGUCUGAAUCUGGUCCAGUGAUCAGAAUGUCAUCCACAUAUAUUAAGACAAGAAUUAUGCCUUUGACAUCAUGCCUAAUAAACAGAGAAGUAUCAGCCUUAGAAUUAGUGAAUUUCCAACUUGUAAGACAUCCCUUAAACUUAUCAUACCAGGCUCUUGGAGCUUGUUUUAAGUCAUAAAGAGCUUUGUUUAGUUUACAGAUGUAUCCUCCCUCUGAAACAAAACCCUCUGGCUGUUGCAUGUACACAUCCUCAAUGAGAUCCCCAUUAAGAAAUGCGUUAUUGGCAUCAAUUUGUCUAACAUUCUAGCCUUGCAUGACUGCCAAGCUAAGAAUAACCCUGACAGUAGAAGAUUUCACUACAGGACUAAAAGUUUCUGAGUAAUCUAUCCCAGCAGUUUGGUGAAACCCUUUUGCAACUAAGCGAGCUUUGUACUUAGAGACUGAACCAUCAGUAUUGUAUUUAGUUCUAAAAACCCACUUGCAGCCUACUAACUUGUAUUCGGGAUUCAUUGGUACUAAGCUCCAGGUUUUGUUUCUAAUGAGAGCAUUAUAUUCAUCUUGCAUUGCUGCCUUCCACUUAGUAUCAGAUAAGACUUCUCCAGCAUUGGAAGGUUCUAGGCUGUUAUGAUCUGUCAAGAAGGCCUUUGGUUUGAAUAUGCCAGCUUUAGCUCUAGUAAUCAUAGAAUGAGUGUUUAUGGUUGUAGCUGAGGGAAGUGAUCUGGAAGGUGAAUUUUGUAGUAUUGCAGGUGAAGUUGUAGUGUUUGGUAUAAUGUUUAUGGUAGCAGCUGGUGAUGUUGUGUGGACAAUGGGUGAAGAUAUAGUAUUAUUUGGUGAAAUCAGUGAGGUGGAAAUUACUUGUGAUGUAGGAAUAGGAAGAGAGAUGAUGUUGUGAGUAGAACUGGAGGCAUGAGAAUCUGUAUCUGCAGGAGCAGCUGCUAAAGGAUUCUGAUUGCUAUUAGGAACUGAGAUGUGAUAUACUUGUAAGGAAUUAUAAAGGAAGUCAGAAGAUUUAGAUGGCAUAGACUGUAAGAAGGUAGAAUCAGUAGAAUAUGGAAAGGAAGUUUCAUAAAAAAAAACAUGACUAGCUAUGUAAAUUCUUCCUGAUGGAUGAAGACACUUGUAGCCUUUGUGUAAAGGGCUGUAUCCUAAGAAAACACAUUUAGAAGUAUGGAAGUGAAACUUGUGAUGAUUGCAAUCUCUUAAGAAAGGAAAACAAGCACAACCAAAAGUUUUGAGAAAUGGAUAGUCUGGUUUUUGAUGGAAUAGAUAUUCAUAAGGGGUUUUCAAGGAAAGAACAGGAGUUGGAAGUUUGUUUAUAAUGUGGGUAGCUGUAUGAAAAGAAUCCCACCAAAAUUUUAUAGGUAACUUGGCUUGUGCAAGCAAGGUUAAACCCAACUCAGUGAUGUGUCUAUGUUUUCUUUCCACAAGUCCAUUUUGAUUGUGAGUAUAUGGAUAGGAGUGUCUAAACUGAAUCCCCUCUGUUUAAAGAAAAUGAACAAGUGAUCUAUACUCACCACCCCAAUCAGAUUGAAGACACUUGAUAGGUUUAUCUAAUUGUUUCUCUACUUGAGCUUUGAAAACUUUGAACACUGGAAAUGCUUCAACUUUGGUUUUUAAAGGAAAGAUCCAGGUGAAUCUUGUGUAAUCAUCUACAAAGCUGAUAUAAUAUUUAUAUCCUUGUAUAGAAAGUGUAAGAGCAGGCCCCCAUAGAUCUGUAUGUAAGAUUUCAAGUGCAUUUUUUGUUUUGGUUUCAGUUACUGGAAAAUGAAGUUUGUGCAUUUUUCCCAACUUACAAGCAUCACAAGAAUCAAAACCUUUAUUACCAUCGAUGGUUUUAAAAGAUGGACAAGAAUUGAUAACAUGAUUCAACACUCUAGCAUUGGGAUGACCUAAUCUUUGGUGUAAAACCAUAGUACUCAACAUACAAUCUGAGUUUUGACUACAUUGUGCUUCAGUUUGUAACUGAGAAGCAAUUUUAUUUUGACAUUUAGAAUCAACAACAGAAAACAUGGAAAUAGGUUGAGUUGAGACAUCUGACUGAACAUGAGCAAAAAGACCUUGGUUUGACAGAUAAGGAGAGGUUUUAUUUGAGGAGACAAAUAGCAAUCUGUACAAUCCUUUUUCAGCUUUGCCCUGCAGCAUGAUCAAAUUCCUCACCUUGUCCUUAACAAAACAGAAAUCAUUAGUAAAUUCUACCACAACAUCAUUAUCUCUGGUUAGUUUUGAUAUACAUAUCAGGUUUUUGGUUAUUUUAGGCACAAGAAGAAUAUUGUUUAGCUUAAGAUCAACAUGAUUUAUAGAGCUUUUCAUUCUCAAAACAGCAGAACCUGUAUGUGUUAUGAAUAAACCAACACCAUUACCAAUGACAAGUUUAGAAGUACCUGUAAAAGGUUCAGCCAUAUUCAUAUUGCUCAUAUCAUUAGUGAGGUGGUGUGUAGCACCACUGUCAAGAUACUAAUUAGUAUCAGCUGGAGCAUCCAUGUUGGCUAAAUAGGCAGCCUUUGGUCCUCUAUUUGGAGGUGAUCUGUAAGAGCCUAAAGCAAUGAAUUCUUCCAGCUUCCAACAAAUGUUUGCAGUAUGUCCAGGCUUGAGGCAGAUUUAGCAGGUAGGUUUUGAAGUAUUCCACUGAGGUUUAGAGUUCAUAGGUGGUUUCCCAUUGUUAAAAUUGUUAACUCCAGUGUUAUUGUUCUAGUUUCCUCCUCCUCCUCCUAUUUGAUUACCAGAUUGAUAACCUUUGAACUGACUAUUAAAACCAGUACCACCACUAGUAGAUUCAGUGCCAAAGUUUCCUUUGUAAUAACCACCAUUUCCAAACCCAGAGUUAUAGCCAUAACCACCAAAACCUCUUCCACCUGAUAUGUUUCCCUUCUUAACUCCUCUAUUUUGAGCAUAAUUUGCCUCAAAAAUUGUUUUUCAUAUCCACACCAGCAAGCAUUUGUGAUUGUUGUUCAAUCCUAGCCUCUUGAGUUAACAACAUAGCAUAGGCUUCAUUUACAUUCAUUUUACCAACUCCUACUUGACCAGUAAUGUAAGUAGCUACUGAAUUAUAAUCUGGUCCUAGGCUAGAUAAUACAUGUAAAAUCAGAUUAUCACUACUUAAAGCACUUCCUGCUGCAGCCAUAUUAUCAGCUAUGUUUUUCAUCUUAAUAAAAUAGUCUGUGAUUUUCAUAUCAUCUUUUUUUGUUGAAUUCAUCAUAUCUUUCCUUGUUGAAUUCAUCAUGUAUCUUAGAUGUAAAAGUCUGGAUUUAGACUGCGAGCCAAAUUGUACCUUAAUAGUUUUCCACACUUCAAGUGAUGUUUCCAGGUUGAACACUAGACUAAUGAUUCCUUCACUCAUUGAAGAGAGCAGCCAUCCAAGCAUCACUUGAUCUUGAGAUCUCCAUGUUGUGAAUUCUGGAUUCUUUACAGAUCUGAGUUUAUCAUCAACUCUCUGAGCUAUAUGAGAUGGAGGUGGAGUGACUGCAUUAUCAAUAAACUUUUCGAGCCUGUUUCCACGAAUUGAGGCUAGGACUUGAGAUCGCCAUAUGAGAUAAUUGGACUGAUCAAGCUUGACUGGUGUGUUAAAGGUAAAGGAAACAGUUGUUGAAUUUGUAGCAUGAUUAAGAGUUUAAAUUGAGGAAGAAGAAGCAAGAUUAACAGACGCCAUUAUUGGCUGGCUCUGAUACCAAGUAAGAAUUCAAUGAUGUUUGGAAACAGAAAAAACUUAAGGGAAAAUAAGAGAAUUCUAAAACUCUUUCUUCGUUUUUAUUAUCUCAAGUCAUUAAUUGACUGAAUCUGUACAUACUUCUGUUUAUAUACAUCAGUAGUAAUUAGAACUGAUUCUCAACUAAUUGCAAGUGCUAAUCAGCUGGUUAUAACUAAUUAAAACUGAAUUACAAGCACAAGAAAUACUAUAACAAACCUACUAAUCUUCACGUGUGCAAGAGACUAUAUAACCACCAGGCUCCAGCUGGCAAGCCAUGUCAUCAACCUGUAACAGCAAGCUGCAGGUGUUGCAAUCCUCUGCUCCACUGACUACUCUGCUUCCUUAACAGGGAGCAGCUGCCUAUAUUCUAGGAGGAUAUUGCAGCGCAGCUGCCUCAAAUGCACACGUAAUUGUGGGGCGCUCUGUCUAGACGUUUCUGCAUUCCUUGUAGAAUGAGAGAAAUUAAGUUCCUUUCACAGCGCCCAUGAGCAAUUUUAUGAAUCAAGUUGCUUGGAUGAAUAGAGCUGCCCGACUAGGCUUAAUGAGUGACACAUUUUUCAAGUCAUCAGCCAUAGACAAAAGGCUUCAACUUUAUGCUUGAAUAGCUCUGGUUGAGAUGGCAGGCUGAAGCAUUGUUGGUUUGCCCUUACACCUGAGUAUCGAUCUGUCCAUGGCUACCAGAAAAUGAGAAAAUUCUUUUUACAAUGUCCUGGAAUAAUUUUAAAAAUCGAGCUGCUUUAAUGAAUGGAGCUACUCGUUUCUGCUCAAAGAGUAAUAAAUCAUCGGCUGUGAGAACAAAGGCUUCAACUUUUGUAAGUGCUUGAAUGGUUCCUGUUGAGGUAGGGAGGUCAGAUGAAAAAUGGUCAAUUGUAGUGCAAGCAUCCUGAACCCAAGCGACAAGUUCUUCUCCACAAAUGUCGCCAUCUUUAAGAUAAUUAUUAGUGCCUGGGGAGGCUUUUGUUACAUUUCCGGAGUUGUAGAUCCGUAGCUUACCUUGCACCACCAAAAGUGCCUUAUCAAUUGGGUCUCCUUCAUGGACAAUGUAAGCGUGCCCCAUGUAGGUAACUGGCUGAACAAAAUCACACAGAUCCUCCAGCAAUGCUCUCUUCCACUUUCCAAAUUUUCCCAUCUUGAUUACAUACAAGAACAACAAUGAGAAUACAGACGUACCAUCUCAAGCAAUUAUAAUGUGGUAUUGAAUAGAACUCACAAUGAUGUACAAAGCAGAGCAGUUCUAUUGGAUAAUAACAGCAAUAAUAAAAUUAAAACCCACUUUCUUGAGGAGUUCUAAGCAGAGUUCAUAUUUUAUCUCCCUUCCAAGGUCCUUUGGAAGACGAUUGAUCAAACUUUCUAUAUCAAAACCAAUGGUUUCUUGCAAUUGGUAUAGCAGGUACUGAAUCGGCUGUUGAAGUUUUAGAGAAAGCUUUCUAUAGGGCAGCCACUGCCCUAACUCUGUCCCCUUCUGUGUCAUCCCCACUGGUCUUACAAGUUCAGACUGACUGUGAAUAAGUCUGUUUCAAAAAGACUAGAGUCCAUAGAAAUUAAAAGUCACUGCGCUUCAUCUUAAGCAGCAGAUAAAACUAUCUUGGAGAUAAAAAAAAAAAAAUGAUGAACCAGGAUUUGUCCAACAAAAAUAACAAGUAGCCACAUGCUAGAUACACUAAUGCAAACUGCAAAGAUGUUUUCCCAUGGAUUGGCACUUGUUUGGAGACCUUGACCAAAAGAACUGCAAAAAAAUUGAAUUCGAAGGUAUCUGUCGGGCACUAAUCUCAGAAGUUAUAAGUUCAAUAUGCUCAUACAAGGAGUUUACACGGGUAAAGCACUUUGUAUAUAACAGAUGACCACUUAUUUUAAUAGCUUACUUUUAAACUAGAUGAAAGUCAUAUGAUUAUGGGUGAAGUUAGAUUUUCUUUUAUUACAGUAGUUUUGCCAAUGGCCAUCUCAGCAAUGGGUCGAUUAAUGAAAUUUUCAACGAGGGCACGGACUCUCUCAUCCUCAAAAACCAUUAUAAUAUGGAAUAAAUAUUAAAAUCAGGGACGCAUUAUAUGCAAAUUAGUGUGAUUUUAAAAUGGAACAAAAUGAAUCGUCGGUUGAAACAUGAAAACUUUGCUCCAUACUGCAAUCCGAACUUGAAAUUAGCAUAAAUAUAUAUAUAUAUAAUCAACACUGUAGAGGAGUUUUGAUAGCUUUAUAUAUACACAUCAACCGUAUCAGGCAUCGGUUUCUAAUAUCUCAAACUCAAAAUACUCUCGUCCAAAUUUAUUCUUGAGAUAGGUCCUUAAUUAAGAUCAUGAACAAGGCCUAAAAUACUAACGUUGCUGCACCAGAUCUGAAUGCCCAAAAUAUUAUUGUAGAUGGCGAUGGUGGCGUUCAUUGUGCGGACGCUUGUGCAUUCUUUCUAGUUUGUCGGAAUACUUGUAUGCAGCGAGCUGCAUUGUUUUGCUUAAUGAUCAAUAUUCAAAAGCAACUGCUUCAAAUCAUCUGCCAUUAGAACAAAUGCUUCAACAUUUGUAAGAGCUUGAAUUGUUUUAGUUGAUAGAGGGAGGUUGGAUGAGUCGCGGUCAGCCUUCGCCCAAGCAAUGAGUUCUUCUCCAGCAGAGUCACCAUCUUCCAGAUGGUUGUUCAGGUUACCAGAAUUGCUUGAGGAUCCAGCUAUGCUCCUGGAAGUGUAGGUCCAUAACUUGCCUUGCAGCACGAAGAGCAUUUGAUCAAUUGGGUUUCCCUCCUGGAGAAUGUAAGAGCGCGCUGUGAAGACAACUGGCUUCACAACAUCACACAGUUUCUUCAACGAUGAAACAUCCUGCUUUCCAAACUCUUCUGCCUAAACAAACAUACAUCCAAUAUCAUUACUAUAAUCUAGAAGGCUCGAUGCUGAUAAUGAAAUUCAGCUUCUGAAUGAAGAGAAUAAAAAUUGAUCUAGAACUAUCUCAGCUAAAAUGAGAUUCAUUCCCCAUCACUAAACACAUGUCAGGCUUGAGUUUCCAUUGAGGUGAUGUGAACCUUAGCUAUUGCGCUUUCAAAACCAUGCAGAAGUUCAAAUAGUUACAAACAUUUACCCUUGAGUUUAUUCGAUUGAGUUAAAGAAUAGGAAAAUAUUUUCAUUAGUUUUUCGGAUUGCUGUUUAUAUGUUGCCAGCCUCUUCUUUGUCAGUUCCACAAAUUCAGAAGUAGGAGGGACAAAUAUAGUUGUAAAGAUUUCUUACUCACAUUUUUUAGCAGGUCUAAGCAGAGGUUUUGUUUUAUGCUCUUCUGCUGUACCGUACAUCCGCCUUGGCCGUACAGCAGACCAAAAAUUUAUUACCAAUAAUUAAAAAGAAAAAAGAGAAAAAGAAAGUGUAGUAUUUGCCCCUUAAAUGACUUGGUCGCACACGUCUUUGAAAAUCGGCUCGAACAACAUAGAGGAAUCUAGAACAAACAUAUUUACCAUGAAAUGAUAGACGGUGGGCAUAUAUGUCAUUUCACAAAGAAAAUGAGAAUAAAACUCAAAACAAUUAGAAUUUAAAAAAAAAAUAAAGGAAAUUAAAGCGCCUCUAUUCCAGUGAUGGUAAUUGAAAUCACAAAGAAGUUUUCCAAGACAUUAGUACUGAAUGGGAGACCUUGACCAAAAGAACUGCAAAAGUCAAACCCACAAAUUUAUUAGAAAUUUAGAACCAAUGUUUUUGAGUUUAAUUGCUAAAAAAACAUAAAAAUACGUAUGCGUAAUUUUAUGCCCAAAAAACAUAGAAAGGCAUAUGCACAAAGAUUGUUACAAGGAGAAUGAUGUAUAUCCACAACUUAACCUGAGAUUUUGCAGGCUCCAUCGAAUACAAAGCAAGAACCUCAGAGAUAAACUGUUUUGCUCCAUAACACCAGAAUUAAUAGCAUCAACGUAUAUCCCAAAAUCAUAGAUAGUUGCAUUUUGAGUCUUUGUAGAGCAAAAAUCAUUAGAAAAUGUGUAGUUUGUUAAACUGUUGUCACAGUGCAAAGGAAGGAGACGGCAUUUGGUAGAAUCUGUGCAGGCUUUCCUCCAACAUUCGGUCUCUGGCCCAUUUAGUAUGCUUAUAUGAAUUCUUCCUUUUUUUAAUCAAUGCAUACAAUCGCUUAACCUUUAGCAAAUGUUGGACGAUAAACAGGUUCAUCACAUGGAAAAAUUGCUGGACAUUCAUUAGUCGAUUAUAAACUAGAAGCACCAACACCUGAACAGUUUGUACACCAUAAAGAUAGAAUUAUCAAUUAUGAAAUAUGAUUCCAUAUGAAAAGGAAAAAAAAAAAUGGAAAUUAAUCGUACAAAUUACAACCUAUGCGUGCUUGCUAGGAAUCCAACAUAAAUUACUUUUGGGCGCCCAUAGGUAUGCGCGUGUGCCCUUGCUUGGCUAGUUGGAACAAAUAAGUAAAAAGUACGACAGAACAAACAUUUACCUGUGGGAGUGGAAAAAUGAAGGCGAGAUCAAAUAGGAAGACGGCCAACCGAGAUUUGCUAAAAUUUCGAUGUACAUUCUCCCCUAUUCGUAAAGCUUUUUUCAUCAAAAACAAUAUAUCAUAUGCUGUACGUUCAACAAUAACCAAAAUCAUAAGGGCUAUGUCAAAUUGGAAGCACUUUUUGCCAUCGUUGAUCACGGGAAGGUACAAGAAAACAGGAUCAAAUAUUAUGGAAUACACAUAAAUCAGCCAAAAAUUAGCAUCCGGGUAACGUCUCGUAGCAUCCAGGAAACGUCUCGGCAGAUUACGAAUCUGCCGAAGAGAUGUUUUUUCUCCAUUACCCAAGCUUUCGAUCACAGUUCGAAAAGCAGAUACUGUUGCUUCUCUCUCGCUCCUACUGAUGCUGUCCAUUUCAACACCAGCAACCAGUCUCGGCGUUCCUUCCUCUAAAUUCGAGUGCUGAGACCUGAAAAAAUAAAAUCAACUUCAUCGUCAUCACCAUAUACAAUAAUUGUAAUAACAUAUGGCCUGUACCUCAGCUCAGUAAGGCUCUAUACGUAUAUCGUCAAAUUAAUAAACAACUCGCUUAAGGCUUACAUAAUCAACCAAGGGGAAGGAAAAUUUAAGUAAAUGAAGCGAAGCUUAAUUUCAGUUUCCUUCAAUUAAAUACAGGUGGAUCCUUCACAAAUCAUCACUUCAGUGGCUGAGUCUUCGGAGUUCAGAGCAUGCUUAUCCUAUGCGCUAAUAAAUAUCUACGCACUGUGGUUCCUCAAGACAUUGACUUCUUACACAAUCAAUCAAACAACCAAAAAAAAAAAAAAUUCAAUAAUUAUGUAAUUUCUGUAGCACCUGUUGAUUGAGCUGGGGCCGGAGGCAACUAAUAGCUACGACUUGAGGUUAGAACUUAUCCAUAUGCAUAAUCUCAAUCUACGGUUCAUUAACCAAAAUUUUGGCCCCAAGAGGCUGCAACUCUAUCACGUCCCUUUGUGCUUUUUGCUCACUAGUAGAAUUGGAUCUUUGUGCUUUUUGCUCAAGAUAAAUAUAAGCCUUAGAAAUAUGAACUUGUUAAGGAUCCAAAUCCAAACUUGUGAACAAUGUCACGAUGCCUAUUACAAAUUUGAGCAAUGGUAGGAACAGUUGGGGCCUGUGUCCCAGGUGGUUUUAGAAACUUUUUGAUGACCACUGACCUUUCUUCCUUAGAAUUUAUAAAAAUAUCCCAUUUGAGUGUUAAAAUUAUGAAAAGUUCAGUGCUCAUCUCUAGUUCACAAAUUGAACUUACUUUCUGCUAGUUCAAACACUGAAAUUUUGUGUAAAAAAUAAAUCAAGGGUCAUAUAUUGUUAUUUAAAUUUUUUUUGAAAUUGUAUUAUACUAAUAAAGGUUUUAAAUGGAGAUAAGAAAUCUCAUUUGUUAAAGACUAAUCCUUAAAUUUAAUUUCAAACACUAUAUAUAAUCAAACACUAUAAAGGAGUUUUGCUAACUUCAUAUAUAUACACAUCAACUGUAUCAGGCUUCGGUUUCUAAUAUCUCAAACUCAAAUACUUUCGUCCAAAUUUAUUAUUGAGAUAGGUCCUUAAUUAAGAUCAUGAACAAGGCCUAAAAUACUAACGUUGCUGUACCAGAUCUGAACGCCCAAAUAUUAUUGUAGAUGGCGAUGGUGGCGUUCCUUGUGCGGACGCUUGUGCACUCCAUCUAGUUUGUCAGAAUACAUGUAUACAUCCAGUGCAAUGUUUUGCUUAAUGAUCAAUAUUCAAUAGUACCUGCUUUAAAUCAUCUGCCAUAAGAACAAAUGCUUCAACAUUUGUAAGAGCUUGAAUUGUUUUAGUUGAUAUAGGGAGGUUGGAUGAGUCGCGGUCAGCCUUUGCCCAAGCAAUGAGUUCUUCUCCAGAAAAGUCACCAUCUUCCAGAUGGUUGUUCAGGUUACCAGAAUUGCUUGAGAAUCCAGUUAUGCUCCUGGAAGUGUAGGUCCAUAACUUGCCUUGCAGCACGAAGAGCAUUUGAUCAAUUGGGUUUCCCUCCCGGAGAACGUAAGAGCGCUCUGUGAAGACGACUGGCUUCACAACAUCACACAGUGUCUCCAACGAUGAAUGACUCCAGUUUCCAAACUCUUCUACCUAUACAAACAUACAUCCAAUAUCGUUACUAUAAUCUAAAAGGCAUGAUGCUGAUAAUGAAAUUCAGCUUCUGAAUGAAGAAAAUUGAAAAUAAAAUGUGAUCUAGAACUAUCUCAGCUGAAAUGAGAUUCAUUCCCUAACACUAAAACAUAUCAGGUUUGAGUUCACGUUGAGGUGAUGUGGACUUUAGCGAUUGCGCUUUCAAAA